rnacentral:lncRNA from 1 species
AGAAUCUCUGAUGGAUAUACACAUCAAAUUAAAACUAUAUUUUCUUCCACCAAAAAUCUGAUGAUCACAGAGGAAGACAAUGUAGUGGCUCGGGCAGGUUCGUUGGCAUUUGUAUUCCAACAACGUAUCUCUGCGGAUUAGGUCUUGUAAUGGUCUUUGCGCGGUUAUGAAACUUGCCGAGAUGGUUUAUCACGGAGAAUCUUUCGAGGUCUUGGAUUUCGAAGAUGAUGUCUAAUAUCGAUGUAGUAGUCCUCUCCAAGCUGCAUACACAAUUUGAAAAAGAAAACGUAUACUUAAGAAACAUUAACAUUUCAAGACAAUUAACAAGCUGAUUCAUACCUCUGGAAGUCACUUUCAAGCUUAUGAAUUUUCUCCAUGGAAGCAUUAACGAGUGAAGAAAACUGUUGAUCACUAGCUGUCUUCGAAGUUUGACGACUGGACAAAACAUGUCUUUAGGGAAGUUAGCAAGUCAUAAGAAACAGAGAUAAAUUUACAUCUAAAGUCAUAUUGGAACUCACUUUCUGCUCUUCUCCAAAUCCGAUCGACAUUUGAGAGAACAUGAAUCAGCGAGGGUCAAUCUUGACAUAAAGUAAAGCACGAUUUCGUAGUUGAGAGCUGCGUUUUCGCCCAAGAAAACAAACGCUGGUGCUGGUUGGAGAAGCUGUUGCAUAAGAUGUGUGGAUAAAACAAGCCUCCUCUCUGAAGGAGAUUUCGCCUCAUUUGGACCGACCUUAUCAUCGACGACAGUACCAAUAAAAAAGUCAAAUAUCUGUUUAUUUAAAGAUAAGAUAUAUAAGAGUAUUGGUACCUUCUCACAUAGCAUAUUUGUCGCAAGGCUCCACUCUUUUUCUGAAAUACUAUAGAGAGCAAAUGUUUAUACGUUAAAUAUUGUUAAAAACGAUAUUUCCUCUUCUAGAAUGUGUUAUUAGAAUUACUGUAGAAGACUAUCCGAGGAAAUGACCUGAUGCUGUGACAUAAUUCUGAACCUUGCAGAUAUACUUUGUGCCAUGGUGACUGUAGAAAAAUUGAACUUUUGCGCUUUUUCGGUCUUGAAGCAACCAAGUUUUGGUUUAAAAUGUUUGAUUUGGUCAAUCCAGAGUUAGACUUCCAAGCAUAGUUGUACAUGCCCUGCUUUUUCGGAUCAUUGUCCGCCUUCGAAUACCCUGCAUUACACGAUAAAUGGCCAACAAUUACAGAAUUUUGGUGGAUAUUGUCAAAUCUUCUAAAGAACAUUUCAUAAUCCUUAAUGUUUUCAUUCCAACGAGAGAGUAUCUUCUACAUUAGCAUGUUUUUUUUCCAUCUAGGAUCACUGUUUGGUCACAUUACUGAAACUCAUCAACAAGUAUAUUUAUGUCAAUGCACUUUUGCAUCUCAAUGUCACCAAAAUUUAAACAUAUAUAGAUAUAUAUACACAUAGAAAGCUUCCGAUAUUUCCUUCUGAUUUACAAGAUAGUUUUUUUUUUUUUUCCAACAUUUAUGAGAUAGUUUAAAACCCAAAUAGAACAAAAUAAACAUUAAAAAAAUGCUUUAUUACUCAAAUAGUGAAUGCAUGCAAAAUUGAGAAGACGAUUAUUUUAUUUUUUUAAACAUCUGAAAAAAAAAACAGACAAUCAGAGUCCAAAACAGAGAUUUUAUAGAAUUGAGAGAAAUUAAAGAAAUAAACAACAAUAGCAAGUAACAAUACGAUAUCUAGAAAAGGCAGUGAUAUUUACCUAUGAAGGGCAUGAUUAUACUUUCUUAAAACUUGGUGAAACUUCAGUUUCUUUCACUCAUAUUUUUUCUGGGAAAGUUGAGAGAGAAAGUCUUGUUACUUCUGCAAGAAAAUUAAGCAUUUGAGAUUGCAUGCAAUAAUUAUGAAAACGAAAUUAUAUGAACAUGCAAAGAAUUUUCACAUCUGAAAACAGACAACAGAGUCUGGAAAGUGACAAAUUUAGAGGAAAAAAAAAGAAAAAAAUUUCGAGUGAGAUUACCAAGAAGAGACGAUCAAGAGAGGAGGUUUGGGGAAAAUGUAGAGGAGCUUAGCGAAUGGACGGUUGGUCCACUAAAGCCUAACUAUAUAUAUGGGCUCUAACCCAACUGUAGUCCAACACAUUUCAACAAAUGAAAUUGAAUUUAAAAGAAAUAUUUCAAAUUAACAAAAUUUUUUUUAUUUUUUUUGUUUAGCUUAUACUCAAUCAUAUGCACACAACUGUGGGGCAAAAAUUUUAGAUUUUUUUUGAAUUUCUUAGACACACGAAUUUAGAUUUUCGUAAUCCGGAUGCAUAUACGAUAUAACACGGAUUUUACUGGUUUUAACCGUGAUAUACGUGUUAGUUUUAGAGUCUUUUUGUUGUUUCCAGUGUCUUUUUGAGUAUUUUCAAGUUUUUACAUGUUCGGGACGAAAUUGGAGAAAAUGAAUCAUUCUGGAGCUAAAUCGAAGAUUUGGAGCUGAAGAGACGAAUUCGGUUCGAACCAAGGCAUGAGUGUCGACCGACACCCUUGGUGUCGCUCGACACCAAACACGGCCCAGCAAGAAGUCUCGACGGUUUAGAGUUUUAAAGCCCGCAGAAUUUACCCAGAAGACUUCCCUAUUUGCAAUUAUAGUCCCUGCACGUUUUUGAGACUUUAUAUAUAGUUUUUAGGGUAUUUCUAUUUCAUUAUCUUGUCUUUUGCUUCUAUAAGUCUCUGUGCUUGAACCCUUUGGAAGAUAAUUGGAGAGAGCAACUUUUCAGAGAUUCAAUACCUUGUUAGAGAGAAGAUUUAUUCUAAACUCUUCUCUUCUUUUAAUUUCUUAUUCUACAAUUUAUUCAACAUGUUUUCUGUUUCAUUAAUCAUGUCUGAGUAAUCUCCCUGUUAGGUUUAGGGAUUCUCAAUAGGGAUUUAGAUGAACUAGUAAAUCAAUUAUCUGUUAGGAUUAAUCCAUAGAGUUCGUCAUCUAGGUUGUUCUUAAUGCUUGUUAUAGAGUAGCUAACUAGAACCUGAUCUUAGGAUAAUAGGUAUUUGAUCCGAGAGGGCACGUGUUACUGGAACUACUUUAGAUGAGCCUGGUUUAUAGGUGUGUAAUAAGAAUCGGCCUAUCUACUAAGGUGAACUUAUCAAACCUGAAUUUAAUGCUAGUCUAGAUCUAGAAAUUCGCAUCGAGAGGUGGAAUUACUGAUAUUAGGCUUGUUAGUUAUCGCAUCGAGAGGUGGUUAGCUAUUCAUUAGUGAUUUGAGUUCAAGAACGGUUCAUUAAAUAAUCCUAAUCAACUUGCUAGAUUUACUAAUAGUUUAUUUCCUGAGAAUUUUCCUAAACCUGACGCUUUAAUCCAUUGAUCUUUUCACCUGAUAAUAUUGCCUGCUCGUGUUUUAUUUUAAUUUUAAUUAUUCUGUGUAGCAUAAUUUUGAGACUUAUAACUUAUUGUGUGAACAAAAGAACUUUGUGGAAUUCGACCCUUAAGUACUGCAAUAGAUCUCUUAUUCGAGAGACUAGGCUUUAGGAGUUAAUUUGACUCAUAUCAAUAUACUCAAUCAUAUGCAUAUGUUCAUGUCAUAUUUGACCUCAACAACACUAACAAAAAAUAUAAAUAAAUUAUUCAAAAUAAUAAUAAUAAUUUUUUUACAAUUUUUGAAUUUUCUAAUCAUGAUUUAAGCUCUUAAAUUCAAUUAAAGAAACAUGUUUUCACAUUAAGAGAGAUCAGUUAAUUUUUAAAGAAAAAAAAAUACAUGUGUUACAUAUUCAAAAAUUAUAAACACAAUAAUAUAUUUUACAUAAUUAUUUUAAAGGAUAUAAUGAUUUAUAAAAAGUUUAUAAUUGGAGGAAGAAAAAAAGAGCCUUAUAUCAAUCCAGUAUUCCUUUGCUACUUAAAGCCCACAUUUUUCGAAACUAGUAUGAGUCUUGUUCAAAUCUCUUGAUUCACGGAUUCAUAUUUGAUUCUAGUUACAUUGUGUUAAAUGUGUAUCAAAUUACAAAAUUUAAUGUAAGAUGAUAUUUCUAUGAAUAUUUGUGCAAUUUGUGUUUACUGGUUUUUAGUUACUACAAGGUAAAAUAUAUAUAUUUGAUUAAAUUAUUAUAAACUUUUAAUACAUUUGAAAAUAAUAAUAAGGUUGUUGUGUUUGGCUUUAUCAUACAAAAUUCAUAAAUUUGUAAAUUUAGAUUGUUGACGAAUUAACAAUAUUUUUUCAUCUUAUUUUAUAAGCAGAAGAUUAUUAAAAUUCGUUUUCUGGAUUUUUUAUUAUUAUAUUUGUUUUGUAGAUUUUUUUUUUUGUUGAUAUGUGAAAUUUAUUGCUCAACAAUAAAAGGAUUGUGCAUGAUAAAUAAAAAAGAAAUUUUCACCAAAGGGACAGUUUUGAAUAUUUGUCUCACGUUUUGACAAACUGAAAUUUAGUUUUCAGGAAUUGACAAUUAAGCCAGAUUCUGACCAAAAUACCCCUAAUGAAAGAAAUCAAACAGCACAGUAGCUCCUGGUUUAGUUUCUUUUCGUUUGGUUUGCUGUUUGGUUUUAAAUUAAUUAAAAAAAAAAUACAAAGAAAACAAAGAAGAAGAACGAGAGAGAGAGAGACAGACAGAGAGAUUCGAGAGAGAAGUCAAAUUUCUGUUCGAAAUUCAUUCAUCCAUCUUCGUCUUUCGAAAUCUCCGUUUCAAUUGUUCUGCAACUUGAUUUGAGACAUCUCAUUCAAGUCUAAUAUCCGGCGAAGAGCAAGUUACUGAUUAUCCGACGAAGAGGUUAAUUUCUGGAGAGUCAUUGAUUUUGCUUCAUUAUCAAGUAGAGAGAUUAAAGUUAAAUAGAUUAAGAGAUUUCCAGCGAAUUGGGAAAAAUGAUAGAGAAUGGUUAGAAAGCAAUUGUUCUUCCGACGUAAUUGACUUAACGUAACCAUCGAACAAUGAAACAAAACUCAAACUCUUUAGUUUUUCAAACUUAAAAUAUACUAGAUUUACAAGAUUUGUAUGUAAAAAACAUUCAAAACGUUAAAAAAAUGAGAUUAUGAGAUAAAGAUUAAUGACGGCUGCAUAUUUAGGGUUGCAGAAGUAGAUACUCAUGUGGAAGAUGACUGCACAAUUACAAUUAUACCCUUCAGCGAAUUUCUUUUGUGUACGUAUAUACAAUUUACGGUGUACGUUGGUUUGAUUAUGUGGACGUGUUAAUAUUGUACGUUAAUUACGUACAUGUGAAGUAGUAUACGUACAUGUGUCGAAUAAUCAACUUUAAUUACGUAAACCAAUGGGGCUUUAUAAAUCACGUACACGUUAAUUAGUAUACGUACAUCUUUCUAAUAAUCAACUGAAUUUUUAUGCUAGCCCCACAGUAAGUUGAGUGUCACCAACAUUCCUGACAUAUCAUAUCUCAUAUUUCUCAACAAAAAAAGCAAUCCACUUGUUGUAAUAUAAUUUUCGUCAUUACCUUUACUAUUGUUCAUAGUCGUCAUCUUUAUCGUCCUCUUUCUUCUCUUCGUCAUCCUCAUCUUCUUUCUUUUCAUCCUCUUUAUUGCCCUCUAUUUUUUCUUCCUCAUCUACUUCUUCAUUGUUUUCACCUCCGACCCAUGGUUAGUUUCAUCAGUAAAGUUAUCCAUCAUGCACACACUAUUCACACUUUCUUUAACGGGUUGGAAAAACGAUACAAUUUACACUUAGAUCGCUACUAUGAAUAAAAAGAAUGUUCCAAGCUCACUUUUUUGUGAUAGUUUUAUUUAUCUCCUGGCAAGACCCUACACAUGGUGGUAAUAACACCAUUCUCUCUGUAAUGAUCACUACCUCGUUUCUCACGUACACAGUAUUACAUGUUUACGUACAUAGUCUUCAAUAGAUGUACUUGUGAUUUUAAAACAUUCUGAAUUCUUGACAACCUUUGCAGACAAAUGCCACCGACAAUUAUCAUCCACACAAGCCAUCUCCAAUCUUCUAGGAUCAGACCGAGUUUGCUUGUAGCAAAAGCAAACUUUGAGUGCAAGAUAAGCCAUAGUUUGUUGUAUGACUUGCCUGUUCAUAAACACACUAGCCACAUACAAUGUCUCACCAGUCGUACUAAUUUCAACUUCUGUAGAAUCACAUCGAACUUUGGCUAAAUCAUCAAAGACUGGAGCAGCAUCAUUAUCGAGAAUCUCCGGCUCUCCACUAUGUAAUAAAGAAAAUCCAUUAUACAUUUCGUAAGACUCAACCGAGGGUUGUAUACGGAGAUCAGUUUCAUUUAAGACACCAGUUUCUGAACCUCCGAUAUCCAAAUCCACACCAAUCUCUCCAUUGACUUCGUCUCUACCAUUAACAUCGGUAUCCGUAUACGUAACAAAUUCACCUUCGCAUCCUGUGUCUCGUACACAUUCUCUAGUGUACGUACAUUGGAGCAAUCCUUGUUGAUACGUCCGGGUUGAAUUCAUAGUUAGCUGAGUGUCACCCAAAUUCGCACUGGUUUCUCCUGUACGUACACGUUGACUUGUGGUCGUACACUCUGCCAAUAGACGACUGAAUUCCCCUGCCGGUUCCACGGUCGGUGGAAUGUCACAGACGUCCUCGUCAACAUGGCCAACUCCAUAUUCUUCUACAAUCAAAUCAUUCCACUUGUUGAAAUCGUAAUCUUCACCACUACCUUCACUGCCGUCUAUAGUAGGGUCGAGAGUACUUCCCGCACUAUAGCCACCACUGACAUCGUCAUCUUUUUCAAUGUUUUCGUCGCUGUCAUUCAAUUCUUCCCCAUCCACCUCUUCGUUCUCCUCAUCCUCUGCAUCUUCAUUUGUUUUUUCAUCCUGUACGUCAGUUUGCUCAUCUACAUCCGCAUUAGUGGCAUCUACAGUUCUACUGAAAGACACAAACAAGUUGACACUUGGAUCCCCAACAUGAAUCAGAAAGAAUGUAUCCAAGCUCAUUUGAUUGUCAAUGUAGACAGGAGGGCGUGUACGUUCUAUCAUAGUUGACAUAUUUCCCGGCAUCCAGUAACUAAUUAUUGGCUGCCAUUUUUUGUACUUCAAAUUGAAAACCUCACAUAAUGUAGGUGUCAAAUCCGUGUACGUCAUGUUUUCCCUAACACGUACACACCGACCAUAGCUUCCUUUCUCAGGUUCAAAUUUCCAUUUUUCUUCUGUCAUUAUCCAAUCACCAACCAUAAUAAAUACUGGAAUCUCCAUUAACAUCCUGCAUCAUAAAUUCAGGAGAACCCCAUUAAAUGCAACUGAGAACAACUUUUAUACCUCCAACUAAAAAAAGACUUUGCAACUACACACUUAAUGCACAUUGAAUCUCGUCAUUUAAUAUUUACUACAGAACAAAUAUAGAAUCAAGAGAGGAAUAAAUUCAAUUUCUUGAAGUUUUGUAUCCAAAUCAAUUUUGUUUUCAUUGAAAGUGUAUGUAAUCACUAAAAUUUAUAUUUACAACUUCAUUACUUACCACAACCACUGCUUUCUCGCCGGAAAACUUUGUUAAACAACAAGAUCAAAAUGGCCGUAAAUAACAAGAUCAAAAUGGCGUCAAUCUCAUUCCUUCAUAGAUAUUUAGGGGAAGUUUAUGUUUUUUCUUAGUUCUCUUUACAAAAUCUAAACAGUGUACGAUUUUAUGAUUUAAGAGGAUUAAAAUAAGAUGUAAUGAUGAGUUUGCAUUAAUUAUAGUUGGAAUGAGUCAUGUCUCAACUUUUUCAGCAUUUAAACCAUUUGUGACACCAUAUUUUAUAUGCUUUUAUUCGUUCGGUGUACACUGUACAUCCGACGGAAAUAUUAAAAAACUAAUCAACUGUAGCUAACGAGAUACUGUGUACGUAACCAACUCGCCUGAUGAUUUCGUUCGCUGUAACUGUACACCGGUUCGGCUAGAAGGGCAUUUUCGUCUGAAAUUGACAUAAUUGUCAAAUGGUGAAAGCCUUUCCCCACUUUGUCAAAACCUGAAAGAAAAACAUAAAACAUGGGCAUGGCCCGUAAUUAACCCUAAAUAAAAUCAAGAAUUGGCAGUAGCUUAAACAUUUGAACAGUAUAUCAAUCUUACUUCAAACCAUCGGCGAAGUAAACCUUCAAAUUUAUGUGGAGCUUUGUAUCGAAGAGAGGAGAUACGGUUUCACAUGACCCUAUCAAUGAGUCGAGUCAGGACUGCUGAGUCCGACAAGCCACUGUAUUGACGUCGUGAGUUCCGUUCUCGCCAAAACAUUUAAGAAUGGAGUCCAUUAUGCAAUGUGAGGAGUGGAUCAAAUGAUUUAAUGUAUCUGACCAGUCUGGUGUUAUGGAUGAUCCAAGAAGAUUUCCACACAACCUUGUCCAAAUAAUGAAUAUGUAGGGACAAGCGAAGUAUAGGUAAUCUCUCGUCUUACGGGACCUCCUUGUUUUUCAUCAUUACCAAGUAGUUCAUUGAAAUCUCCAACUAUUAUCCAAGGGUCUCUUCUAUUACUUGUAGUUCUUUCUAAUCAUUCCCACAACUCAUUACGGUGACUCAGAUUGGGAUGCCCAUACACAAAGGAGAAGUAGAAACCACUUCCAUUGCAUUUGACAUAACAAUCUACAAGAUUUGCGGAAUGAAAAUAAACAGAUAUAUCUACAGACUACUUCCAAUACAUAGCUAAUGGUACAGAUAUAUCUUAGACCAACUAGUGGUACAAAAACAUGAGUGAAGAGACCUAAUUCACCACCCACAUCCCUUACUUUUUUUUUUUUUUUUUUUUUUUUUUUUUUAAAAAAAAUUAUUAUUUCGAAAUCUCAAUUGGGCCAGACCUUUGGCCCAUACAAAUUUGGAUCAGUUACAAAACAGAGAUCUGAAAAUGACGCCGGAAAACUUAAAACGGAGGCUCGGAUCUUGUUGAUUACCGGUAGCAGAAAGUCAGUAGCAUUAGAUCUGGCGAAUUCAAGGUUCAUGGCUUUGCGACAUAGAAGGAGGAUUGAAACACACCGUUGAAAGAAUUCGGUUUCCGACGAAUCAUCCUCACCGCCGACUCGCCAAUCCCGCUACAAACCUCCCAGAAAACUCGACUCUCCGACUGACCGGCUCCACGUCGAUAGAUCCUGACCGAGCAAUCUGUCGCACUAGGACCAAACCCCUCCAAUCCAGUUCCGAACAUCUUCAAACCUGCAGAACAAAAAAACUUUCGAUCCGGUCCGGUGGAUGCGAAACCGCAAGCAUCCCGACUCUGUAACCUGCGAUAGCCCUCUAAGAUCUAAGAUCUGCAGCUAACCACCAGACAAAACAAGUCACUGCCUAGACUCAGGUUGUCCUCAUUGUGGAAUAGGUGGAUUAGGGCCUACCGCGCCUCCAUAUGAUGUUGCCACACAAGUUGUUGUGAUACCAAACUCCCUUGAAGGUCUUAUUGUUUAUAAUAGAUUAAAAUAUGUAUUAUUAGGAAAGAAAAGUGUUUGAUAGGAAAGAUAGUAUAAUUAAAUAAAUAAAAGUAAAAAUGUCGAAAAUAUUUGUGAGCUUGACACAUAAGCAUCAAUGACUCUUUUAAUAUAUAGAAGAUGUUUAUUAUGUUUGAUUAUCUUUAUUUUUAUUUUAUAUUUCUAUUCUAUUUCAAUCUACAUUCUUUUGUUAUUGUCAAACUCACUCUUUCUUGUGAUUUUCUUAUACGAUUAUUUAAACCUGUAUGAAUCUCCAAAAUCUCAUGUUCUACAAUAUUGGUACGAUUCAUGUUCAAUUUUGAUUACAUCGUAUUUAAUUUUAUUUAUAUUAUAAUAAUUAAAAUAAUUCUGAUAUAUAAUCAUACGUCGAUUAUACUAAUCAGUGAGAUUAAGAUUUGAUUUUGAUAAUGAUUGUAUUAAUCUUCGAUUUUGAUAACAUAUUACUCCUUCCGUUUAUAAAUAAGUAUCGUUUAAGGUUUUGACUUUUGCCACACAUAUUAAAAAAAAACAUUACUAUUUUGACUACAUUGUAUUUAAAUGCUAUUCAAAUUAUAAUAUCUAAUGUGAUUUAGAUUAUGAUCGGUAAUGUGAUUAUGAUAUUCAGUGUAAUUAUAAUUUAACUAGAUUUUGUACCUGCGCGUUGCGCGGGAUUUUAAUCUAAAAUCUCUUCUAUUAAUAUAAAACUUUCAACAUAAAAUAUAAUCAAUGAAAUUUAAAAGAUAAAUAUUUGAACAUAAAUUAAUAAGUGAAUAUAUAAUGAGACUUAUGGCAAAACAAAAAAAAUUUAAACCUUCUUAGUAAAUUUUUUUAAAAAACAAUUUUGGGCCUUUUUUUUUUAAGAAAUUUUAUGAAACUAAUGUUGGACCCUUGGCAUUUGCCUACCUUGCCUAGGGGUAGAGACGGGCCUGUUGUCGACGAUAAUCUUUCCUUAACAAAUAAAUGGUUUGAAAUAUAUCACGUGGUAACAAAUAUUACUUAAGAAAUUCUCGAGAAGAGUAAACUGUAUCGACGACCAUCUAAUGAUCCUUUAUCUUAUCUCCAAAAGAGUUUCUUUCUUAUUCAAAUUCCAUGAAGACAUUUCUUUAAAAGUUUUGACGUUAAUUAAUCGAUUGUUGACCUAAUUGUAAAUAUUAUUUAUGAUUAAAUGUUGAUGUGAAUAUAACAUCAUCAUUCCAUAUAAAAUGCGAAUAUACUAAGUUUCAUGAACAUUAUUUGGAGUAAAAGUACAUCUAUAAUACCAUGUUGCUAAGACAACUUUAGCGAGCUUGUUUUACCCAUCAAAGCAAGUGCAGCGUGCCAUAAGAGAAUUCUCGACUAAGUCAUCAAUGUGUCUAUCUUAUCUUACUUUUCAUGGUUACAUGGCCAAACGUUUAAGUCCAACUUUGAAUCUAAUAAUCUGUUUAAUAAUAUAUGUCAUGUAUUUUCCUAAGAACCCAUUCGUUUUACACAAUGAAUGAGAUCUCAAAGAUUUUACCUUACUCAUGUGCAUUAUCUUUCUAAGAUUUAGAUAUUUAUUAUCAAACACUUUUAACUACCAAUUCUUUCGUCAUCUUUUAUGAUAAACUUGUUGCCUCUUGACAUCUACUUUUUUUUCACCUUCUAUUCACUCACAUAUAAUAUAUAUUGGAGUGUAAAUUGAUUUUUAAGACAUAUCAUAACUAUUUUCUCCUUAAUUCUUAUCUUUCAAUACUCAAUUUUCUUGGAUUAAAAGCAUUUGAUAUAAUUGAUAAAAUAUCAAACUUGUUUUACUUUUUGAUCAUCUUAUAAAGUUGUAGUUUCACUUGAAAAUAUGCUAUACAAAUUACAUAUCACUUUUUAAUGGCUUUCAUAACAUUUUUUUGUAUAUUUUGUUGAAGAACUCAUGAAUAAUCUAAUAAUUAAUUAUUUACUUUUUUAAAGAUAGAUGAUAAUGUUUUUAAAUUUUCAAGAUAUCCUUUUUUAUAAUUUCACAAGAGAAAGUGUGACUCUUACAAUAUCUUCGUCUUAAAUUAUAAAUUUACGUUGAAUUUAAUAAUUUUUUUUUUCUUGAAGUAAAACUUUAAUGAUAAAUAAAAAUAUGUAGUAUAUUGUUCUUAGAAACUAAUGUUUUACUUUAAAUUUCAUUUUUUGGUUAAAAUUUUACAUGUAGAUUUAGUUUUAUUCUACCAUGUAUUUAAAUUUACUUCCAUUCUAAAACUUAUUUACACAUUUAAAAUUUGAAGUAUGAUCAUUUUUAAUUUUUAUAUGUUGAAAGUUGAAUUAUAUUAUUACUACUAAUAAAAUUUAAUAGUAUUAUUUUUAUUAUUUUAAUAUCUAAUGUAUUUUAUAUAAUUCGUUUUUUAUUUAUUUAUAUUUUUUAUUAAUUAUAAGUAACAUAAAUAUGCACUGAAUGAAUGUUUUAAAUUUAUUUUAAUGUAAAAUAAAUAGUACUCAAUGCUUAGGUGGAUAUGCUAGAUGGAGAGAAGACUCUCCUAUUAUAUAUAUAGAUUAUGAUAAUCUACAACGUGUUAAUGAUGACAAAUUUUUUCUCAACAUAUCGGUUUUCAAGUGAAAGAUGAGAAGGUCAACAACACCUUGUUGCUAGGUAUCCAACAACAUCCUCAACAAAAAAAACUUUAAUGGAUAUAUUCGCAGUCUCCUUAACAAAGUUUUCCAUCAAAGAAAGUAAAGCUUCCAAACACCGUGAUAUCAGUAUUGGCUAAGACUGGAUGAACAAGAUAAUAUGCUUUUAAACUAUAUUAAUUUAAUGCAAAACUCAAAAUUUUAAACAUUUUAGCUACAAAACUAAACCAUAAAAAUGUAAUGUUGCGACAAGUAAUACAUGAAAAGCAAUGAUGUCAGACAUUAUUGAACUGAAAACUUUCAUUGUUUUCUUAUUACAUAAUGUUUAAUCCUUUAAUGUUAUUGAAAUUAUAAAAUUUAAUGCAAUUCAGAUUACGAUAGGUAAUGCGAUUAUGAUAUUCAAUACGAUUCCGACUCAAUUUUAGUAUUCUACAAUCAUGAUAAUGAUGCAUUCAUAUUUGAUUUUGAUUAUGUAUUAUGAUAUUUUGAUUCAAAUAUGAUAUAUUGAUAUUACUAGGCCUUGAAUGGCUGUAGAUUUAAAAGCAGUUUUUGGUUUUUGAUUUUGCAUGCAAAAACCAGAAUUAUCCAUUCAUGAUUUUAAUAAAAGUAGAAUUUCUAGAAAAAUAAAGAAAUCAGAUUUUAAGAGAUUUUACAUCUACUUUUCUGGAGUCCAAAAACUAAAAUUUAUGGGUUUUAUAACAAAAAUUACAUGACAUUUGUUUCUUAAUGUUUUAAACACAAAAAAAAAAAAACUAAAAUUCAAAAUACAUAGCAUAAGGAGUAAUAUAAAUUUCUUAAAAUAAUUAUAUAUAUAAAAAGAAACUAAAUAAAUUAGCAUUCAAGAUUUUGCAAAAAAAUAAAAUCUACACUAAAAACCGAAAAUAAAAAAUCCAAAAAACAGAAACCGAAAACUAAAAUCCAAUUAAAACUGCAAAACAUUCAUGACAUAGGUAUUGUUUUUACUAAAUUUGAUUAUGAUGUUUGAUGUGUUAAGUAUCUUUUUCAAUUAUAUUUUAGGACGAAGAUGCGUCAACAAUGUAUUACAAUACUAAGUACAUAAGUCCAGUUUGGACCUACAGUUGAGGCUCGAUGCAAGAUGCAGUGAUAUGCGGUAGAAAGAAGAGGCUUCACCCUGUUGCCUUCUCGUCUACUGUAAUCCUCUUUUCUAUAUUAUUUCUUCAGAGAUUUCAUCAUUUACCUUAUCGAUAACAAAUUGAUCUGUAAUGUCACCAUAAUUGCUUGCUUUCGCUGAAAUUUCUCCUCAUGGAUUUUUUUAAGAUGCUUUGCCAAUCUGCCUAUAGACAAAUGAUUCAUUCAAUUUGUAUUCAUUGCGUCGUAGAUUAGGAUAGUUUCAGCUAUUGCAACUGAUAUCUUGUGUUUUUGUUAGUUUUAUAGCUUUGUUUCUCUUAGUUUUCAAUCAUUUUGCAUUCAUGUUUAGGUUAUUAGGUGCAUAUUUGCAUUGCAUAUCUUACUUCUAGGUCCAUGGAGUGGAUUUUAGAGUUUUGAUGGCAAUUGGAGCACUAGUGGGGGUAAAAAGAAGUAAAUCAAGCAAAGAAGAACUAGAGGAGUAUGAAGAGAUGGAGAAGAAGAUGCAUCAGGUUUCUACAUCGACGUAUGCACCCUGAUGCGACAUGUCCUGAAGAUUCUGUUGAUACAUCAGCCAUAUGCAUCGACAUAUGCACCCUGAUGCGAGAUGUCUUGAAGAAUCCAAGUUUAUUCUGUUGAUACAUCAGCCAUCUGCAUCAGCUUAUGUACCCUGUUGCGAGCCAAUUUUCCUUAUGACCUGAAUUCGAAAACCGGAUCCGACCCGCUUGUUAUGGGUCGACCCGGUCCGUUUUAAACUUCUAUUUAAGUGAUUUUAGACCUAAUUUCAUGUCAUGCUUUGUUGAGAGAUCAUAAACUUCUCUUAAGGUUUCUUUCUAAGUUUUUGUAUGAAUCUUUGGUUUGUUGAGUUUUGAAUCCAAGUUUCUCUUUAAAAAAAAAAAAAAAAAAAAAAAAAAUUGUCUUCUUCCCCGGCAACGGCGCCAAAUUGAUGUAGUACUUUUACUCAAUUAAAUAUCGAACCACAAUUUGCAAUUGAUCAACUCACUAGGAAUACACGCAAAAGCUUAAUCUAGGCUAAUAAGAUGAUUUGGUUUUGUAAACUUGACUAACAAAGUAAAUAACAAUCAAACAAUGCAAAACAAGAUAAAUGAAAGUAAAAUGCAAAAGACUAACAAGUUUCGAAAGUAAACAAAGCGGAAAAAUAACAAGCUAAUAAGCGAAUUCUCGAGUUAAAGGGAAUUGAUUAGGAAUGAUAAAGAAGUGGAUUAUGGAGCUUCAAACAACUUCUAAUAAGCAAUGAUCCUUAAGCCAUAGAACACUAAGCAACACUAACACAUUUCCAUGACAUUAGUCCAUUUGCUAAUCAAUUAAUCAUCAACUUCAUCCAAAGGCAAUCAAUUGACUAACAAGCAUUAUAAACAAGUCUAUCUAGCCACUUAACACCUUAGUCAACAAUUUCCAAAGGUAAGGAAUGUAAAGCACUUAAAGGUUUUGGUUCGGGAAUUUCAUCGAACACCUUCUGAGCAUAAAAUUCCUAAAGUCUAAAUCAACAUGAUCAAGGCUAAUCUAGCAUUAUAAACAACCAAUAAGUAAGGAUCUUAAGUAAUCUAGCCCUAAACUCCAUAACCCAACAACUAAACCAUCCUAAUCUACCUUAACCCAAGAACUCUAAAUGACUACUCUGGUGCGGUGAGCGUGGAUGAAUUCUAGCUUGGUAGAGCAUCUUUGGAAAGUAGCGGGUGCAUUACACAAACCAAAUGGCAUUAUUUUAAUCUCUUAUCUACCUUCUCUAAUUAUGAUUUCACAAAGAUCAAACCUAUUGCUUUGUGUAAUCAUGAUCAUGAGUGAGCAACCAAAUCGAGACAACUCCAUCUUUUUUUUCUAUUGAGCCAGUAUGAGAUUAAAAUGCUUCAUUUGAAUUCUUCAGCUACUUCUUUAUACUACUUUGAAUCGUUGGCUUAAUUUUUAUAAAAAAAAUCUCGGAGAAUAGAAUCAACAGCCUAGAUUGCUCAAGCUAGCCAAGUCAUCCAUCUAAGUUGAUUUCGAUUAUGGGUGAUGUGGAAGAUCAUUGAUUUAGUUCUUCCACUAAUAGUGUUGAUCGGUUGGAUUCUUAGAAUCUUAUUCAUUUUUUUUUGUGCAACAAAAUCUUUUAGAUAAGUUUGUUAGGUGUUUUCUACUUUGACCUACACGAUUUAUGUAGGUAAUUAGAUUUUUUUAUUGGUUCAGGUUUAAAAAUGCAUGAUACCAUUUUUUGGUAUAAAAAUGCAUUGGUAAAAUGUUUGGGUUGAUUUUGGAUUUUUUUUUUCUAAAAAUAAACAGACUUGAGAAUUGAGACUUAACGGCCAAAUCAACUCAAACAAUUUGUCGGAUACCUUCUCCAACCCAAACAGUGGCACCAUGCACCAUGCAUUUAACAAAAUUUUCAAAUUACCAACCUAAACCAUAUAACCAGUAGCUGAAUUCUACAGUGACUUUAACGGUGCUAAUAAACCUUUAAACGGUGCUGAGUCAGAUGACAUCGUUGCGACGAUGUAGCGACACUGUGACAACUUAAAGUUGAUGUUGACAUUCACAUGGUUAGUAAACCGUUAAACAAUACUUAGUUCUAAGUCCAAGUGUUCGGUAUAGUGUCGUCUACCUUAACACCUUGACGGUUUACUAACACCGUAAAGAUCGAUGUAAAAAUCGGCUAACAGUUAUUUUGUUCAUGUUGCUUAUUUGAAAAUUUUGUUGGUUCAGGUUCAUAAUUGGAAAAUACAUGCAGCCAAUUCUUUGGUUUGAUUUUGGCCCCGCCACUGUCCCCCACUAUUAAACUCUUCCAAUUCUUUUAUUUUCCCCAUAAAACCCCCAAACUCUUUUCUGUCUAACAAUUUAACCCAAUUUUUAAUUGAGAGCCCAAAAAAUGAAAAGCUUUUUAAUCUCUUUGAAGAAUAUUUUGAUGCCUCGCCGACUGGGUUCUUGCUUCGUUUCGAACGGAGGGAUUUUUGACUUCGAUUUAGAUGCUUUCUUCUUCGGCAUCGAAGGAAACGGAGGAGACGACAGUUACUUGUUAGAACAGAAAAAAUAGGUUUUCACCUGAGAAAGAGAAAGACGAAACGACAAGAGCACAAGAGAUCGUGGCAUUGAACCGUAAUUAAUACAGUUUCUGAGUGGCAAAGUGGGUUGAAGACAAACUAACCAGCUAAGCUGCAUGGAAUCGGAAGCGGGUACGCGGAAGUGGAAGCGUUCGGAAGCGUGGAAGCGAAUAUUUGAAAAAAAUUAGGAAGCGGGUGUGUAUUAGAAGCGUUAUAUAUAUAUAAAUAAAAAUAUAGAUAAAAAUAUAUAUUAUAUUAAAUAAACUUCUGACACAAUUUUAGUAAAUAUAUUUAUGUUAAUCAUUCUAUUAAAAUGUAAAUCUUAGCAUUCGUUAUUUAAUUUGCCAUAGAUCCGGAUAUUUUUGCUAUAAUUGUCUUACCUUUAUUUUGUUCAUAGCAUUUUUUAAUUAACAAACGCUAUGAUAUGUAUUGUCGGUGAAAAACGUCAUUCUAAAAAGAUUAAAUCUGAUUGAAAUUUUUUAAGUACGGGUAGAUAUUGGUCAUGAGAGGCGAAUUCGUCUGAGAGAGUAUCGAUGAAAUCUCCGUCAUGAUCUCGGUUAGAUCUGGGAGGAAUGUUGCAGCUGAAGGUGGAUAUGAAUUGGUCAACGCGUUCAUAGCUAAAACCGUUGUGACGGAGAUUCCUGUGACGCCGGAAUUCGUUAGCGCGGCGUUGACGUUUCUGAUCGCGGCGGCGACGAAUGGAGCGAUUUAUCCGGGGAAGACUUCGUUACCGAUUGUGAUCCAUUUGAUUGUGACGUCGUUUUGGUAAGGUGUGAUCCAGGUGGCGACGAAAUUUGUUGCGGCGGCUGGAUCUUGGGCUAGGGAUUGGAUUUCUUCGUUUCGUGGACCAAACGCGACGGAGAGACCUGAGCCACGGAGGGCUUCGAGCAUGUCAGCGAAGGGCUCGUACAUACGGAUUGCGUCGAUAUUGUUGGUUUUGUAUAAAGCUACUGUAUCUGCCGGCGUCGGGAGAUUGUUGCCGUUCCGGCCGUAACAAACCCCGGUGAUACCUUUAUCUCAGAUCAACACCAGCGACGCUUCCGAUCUACCGCAACGGCGCUUCCAACUCUGAAUCGUCGCUUCCACGACGCUUCCAAACGCUUCAUUUUGGGAAUCACGAUUCCAACGCGAUUCCGAGCGAUUCUGAUGCGCUUGCGCUUCGCUUCCGCUUCGCUUCCGCUUCCGGAGCGAGAAACGUGGAAUCACAGACGAUUCCGUGCUUCGUAGCUAACCAGUUCGCAAUGGCAUGGAAUGGUAAAUAAUAGAGUUUUUAGAUGGCAUUAGGGUCAGACAAAAAUUAGGGAACAGUUACAAAUGGGGAAAAUUCUAAUUGUAAAUAGUGAACAUACUAGUUCCCUAAUUAUGUUUGAAAAAGUGACUAUUUUGCAACUUAUCUCUAUUUUAUAUAUGUACGAAAUAUUAUAUAUAGAUAUAUCAAAGAGUUACAUAACAUUAUAUUAGUCUAAUUUACAUAUGUUAGAGUACAUUACAUAUACAUGUGACAUAGAUUUAUGCAGUCAAAAAUAUAUACUAAAGCUUAUUUUUUCUGAUUCCCUUAAGAAUCUCUGAUGGAUAUUGUUGUUUUUCUGCUUAGAUCACAGGUUUGUUUUGUUUUUCUCUUAAACUUUCAUACUUUUCAUAGAUAGAAAAAACUUACAACAUCUCUUAAACACAUAUAUAGAGAUUGCACACUUGCACACAUAGUUUCUUUGCCAUAACUCUAGAUACUAGGAUCACUUACACAAGCAACACCACUUGUGUAUAGGUUCCAGCAACUCCUAACAACUCUUUACUAUUCAGACCUAACAGCUUCUCUUGUUAUUCUAACUUGGUACUUAGCUAACUUAAGAGUACAUCAAGUCUACGAAUGGGUUACAACAAAAACCAUCUAGACAUUUUCUGUUGGGCCAAAAACCAAAUCUGCAGGCCCAAACAUAUCUUAACCCAAAACAACUAAACCUUGACUUCUUCUUCUACGUUUCCUUUCGUCAACCUUCGACGCUUCUUCUCUCUUUCUAGAUUCUGGGUUUCAUCACACCAACCCACCUCUUUACUCCCUUGUUCUUCAUUCCUUUCUCAUUGACAUCGUUCUUCUUCUUUGCAGGAUCAAUCGGAGAGUUCAAUCUCAACAGAUAUACACAUCAAAUUAAAUCAUUUGUGAUGAUCACAGAGGAAGACAAUAUAGUGGCUCGGGCAGGUUCGUUGGCAUUUGUAUUCCAACAAUGUAUCUCUGCGGAAUAGGUCUUGUAAUGGUCUUUGUGCGGUUAUGAAACUUGCCGAGAUGGUUUAUCACGGAGAAUCUUUCGAGGUCUUGGAUUUUGAAGAUGAUGUCUAAUAUCGAUGUGGUCCUCUCCAAGCUGCAUACACAAUUUGAAAGAGAAUGUACACUCAAGAAAAUAAUUAUCUUUGAAAAACAAUUAAGGAUCGAUCCAUCCAUACCAUUGAAAGUCACUUUCCAGCUUAUGUAUUUUUUCAUUGAAAGCAUUGACGAGCGAAGAAUAUCGGUGAUCUAGAUCACUAGCUGUCUUCGAAGUUAGACGACUGACAAAAAUUCAUUUUAGGGAAGUGAGCAAAGAUUAAGAAACUGAGAUCAAUCUAAAACCAUAAUGGAACUCACUUUAUGCUCUUAUCCAAAUCCGAGCGGCAUUUGAGAGAACAUGAAUCAGCGAGGGUGAUUCUCGACACAAAGUAAAGCACGAUUUCGUAGUUGAGAGCUGCAUUGUCGCCUAAGAAAACAAACGCUGGUGCUGGUUGGAGAAGCUGUUGCAUAAGUUGUGUGGAUAAAACAAGCCUUCUCUUUGAUGGAGAUAUUGCCUCAUUUGUAUCGACCUUAUCAUCAGACGGUAACAACAACAAAAUCAAAUAUCUUUGUGAAGAUGGAGAUGGAAAUUACUAAAGGAAAAAUGAUAAAUAUAAGAGUAUUGAAACCUUCUCACUUAGCGUAUUUGUCGCAAGGCCCCAUUCUUCUUCAGCAAUUCUAUAGAGAGAAAAUGUGUAAUUUUUCAAAUAGGGUGAAAACAAUAUAUCAUAAUCAUCAUCUAGAAUAUGGUACUAGAUCAGUCUAAAGAAAUGACCUGAUACUGUGACAUAACUCUGAACCUUGUAGAUAUACUUUGUGCCAUGGUGAUUGUAAAAAGGUUGAACCUUUACGCUUCUUCGGUCUUGAAGCAACCAUGUUUUGGUUCAGACUGUUUGGUUUGGUCAGUCCAGAGUUAGACUUCCAAGUAUAAUUGUAUAUCCCCUGCAUUUUCGGAUCAUUUUCCGCCUUCGAAUACUCUGCAUUACACGAUAAAUGGCGAACAAUUACAAAAUUUUGGCGGAUAUUGCGGGAAGAUUUUGAAAAAUAUCUUCUACAGAACAUUUCAUAUUUCUUAACAGGGCCGGCCCAUGGGUAAAGCCCAUGAAGCAAGGGCUUUAGGCAUCAAAUAAUUAUAAGUAGUUUUAGGGGCAUCAAUUUUUAAAAUGUUACUGUGGUCUAGUGGUUAGAUUGAAGUCUUUUGUUGUACAGGUCACGGUUUCGAAUCUCAUACAUGUUAAAACUUGUAUUUUUUUUUUUAUAACAGCUUUUGUUAAUGGGCCAAAUUUUUUUUUGCUUUAGGCACUCAAAUAGUUUGGGCCGGCCCUGUUUCUUAAUGUUAUCAUUCCAAAUUUCCAACGACAUAUUACCUUCGACUCUAGCAUGUUUUUUGUUUUCUUCUAGGAUCACUAUUUUUUCAUAGAACGGAAACUCUUCGACAAUAUUUAUCAAAAAAAAAAAAAAAAUUAUACUGCAACUCAUUGUCACCAAAAUUUAAACAUUUUAAUCCACAAAAGACUCCAGAAGAACACAUAUCUAAUGUCAUUACCAUGCUUACAUAUUUAUAGACAAAUCAAGAGUUAACGUAUAUAUAUCAAGCUUCCGAUGGUUCGUUGUGAUUUACGAAACCUCAAAGGCUCAAACAAAACAAGAACAAACAAUUAAAAAAAAAAAGAAUGUUUUGUUACAUAAAUAGUGAAUGCAUUGCAUGCAAAAAAAUUAUAAAGACGAAAUAUCUUUUUUAAGAACAUACAAAGGAUUUGAGUGUCUGAAGGAAAAAACAGAUAACAGCAGAGUCCAAAACUGACGAAUUUCGAGAAGUUUCAAAAAAUUGGGGGAAAUAAAUUAAAGAAACAAACAACAAUAACAAUAUUCAGAAAAGGCAGUGACAUUUACCUAAGAAGAGCAUGAUCAGACACUGGAUUCUGAUUAUACUUUCUUAAAAUUUGGAGAAAUUGCAGUUUCUUUUGCUGUCACAAUUUUCCAGGAGAAUUGAAGGAGAAAGUCUCGUUACCUCUGCAAAAAGAUUUAGCAUUUGAGAAUGCAUGCAAUAAUUAUCAAAACGAAAUUAUCUUUAACAUUUGAUUUAUGAACAUGCAAAUGAUUUUAACAUAUGAAAACAGACAACAGAAGAGUCAAGAAAGUGACAAAUUUCGAGAGAAAAAAAAAAUCGAGAAAGCAAGUGUUGAGAGGUUUGAGCGGUCAGGUCAGUCCACUAAUGUAGAGGAGAAGAGCCAAUGAAUGGUCAGUACUCAGUCCACUAAAUACUAACGCCCAACUAUAUUUGGGCUCUAACAAGGAGUGCUUACAUGAGGGUUCUACAUAAUUUUGAUCUAGAAAUAAUAAUUAAAAUAUAGGGAAAAUUGGAUAUAAAGGAUAAAUAAUUAAACUAUUGUCCAUCUAUGCAUUCUAUGAAAAAAUAUCACAUAUUCCUAAUUUACCCUUUGUAGUUGGUUUAACUAGUUUUUCAAAAAAAAUUUAGAACAAUUUGUAGGCAAAUGAAAAAUAAGUCAUGAGGAUACUUAUAAUGUCGAAAAUAUGUCAUUUUUGUUGCCGUUUUGGAUAAAUAAAAUACGAUCUACGAAGUUUAGAAUACACAUUCUGAAUUUAGAAUGUGUAUUCUACACAUUGUACAUGUUCUAUAAAAUUUAGAUAAUGUAUUCUAUGCACUCUACAUGUUCUACGGAAUUUAGAACGCAUUUCUGUUCUACGGUAUUUAGAUAGCUAAUUUCUACGAAAUUUAGAAUACAUGUUCUAUACUUUGCUCUUUCUUCUAAAAAAAUUAGAAUAUCUUUUCUAACAUUUACCCAUGUUCUAAAAUUGUUAGAAAACACAUUCUUAUAUUUUCCUAUAUAUCCUACAAAAAAUAGAAAACAAAUUCUAUAUAAUUUAGAAUUUCUUUUUAGAAAAGGAAAAUAGAUCUUUAAAUAAAGAAAUUGAAUAUUGUUAAGAUUACAUCUGAUAAAAUUGAAUAUUAAGGUUAAGAUUACGUCUACAAAUUUUAGAACAUGUAUUCUUAUUAGUUUAGAAUUCUUUACCCAUAAGUAAAUAGAUUACCCUAGUCCACUUUGACGUCUCUUCUUUUGUUCCUUAUUUCUUUUUCUCCACGUUUCAUCUCUUCUUAUUCUUCCUUCGUCCCCUCUUCUUCUUUCUUCUUUCUUCUCCCUAGUCACGAUCUUUAAGUAAUUGUGAGACAAACAAUUAUGUUGCAGAUCUAUGUUACUUGUGGUGUAUGGAGAUCAUUUGCUAAUAAAGAGUGGAAAUUUAUUGUUGAUGAAGAAAAAUGUGCAAGAUUACUCACCUUGCAAUCUACAACAACUCUUGAAGACCUAUUGAUGAUGGUCUCUGAAGACUACAAAAUAGAACCUUGAUGUGGAAUUCACUUAUUUACCUACAGAUCUCGGUGUUGAUUCUCCUCCUGUUCUUAUGACGAAUGACCGACAACUGAAAAAUUUUGUCGACUAUUAUAAAAGGAACAUUUUGAUAUGGUUGUGUGUGACAUUUAAAGUUAAAGGCGAUAAUCAAAGGAAUAUAGUGGAUACCGAAUUGGAUGAGGAGCCAAGUGAUUCGAUUGAAAGAGAUGAUGAUCGUAACGUGCGUAAAAAAUCUGCAGUAUUGGUUGUUGAGGAUACGCCUAAUGUUGGUAGAGUUUGUGAUAAGGUUGAAUCUAUAUUGGCAGAUUCCAUUGUAAAGAAUGGGAAACAUUUCAGAAGCAAAGAAGCUUUACAGGCAACUCUAGAAAUAUGUGCGAUGAAGUAUAACUUCGACUACAGAGUUACUAAAUCUGAUCCGACAUUUUGGUGUAUUCGUUGUGUGGACAAAGUUUGCAAAUGGAGGCUUCGUGCAGAAUGUUUGAAGGGAUCUACAUAUUUCAAAAUCAAUAAGUAUGUUGCUAAACAUAAUUGUGCUCCUUCGAAGAAAAGCAAAGUCUCUAGAACCCCUUCAGCAAGAACAAUUGGACAGCUCAUUAUGCAUAGAUACGAGGGUGUGAAGGAAGGGCCUAAACCCAAUGAUAUCAUUAAUAUUUUGCGUACAGAAUAUGGAUGUGAGCUAUCUUAUUCCCAAGCUUGGGAGUCUCGUGAGUAUGCAGUUAACGAAGUUAGAGGGAUACCUGAGAAAAGUUAUGGUAAAAUACCAAAAUACUUGCAUAUGCUACAAGAAGCUAAUCCUGGUACGUAUACGAAUUUUGAAAUUGAUUACGAUGGUAGAUUCAAGUAUCUAUUUAUUUCUUUUGGUCAAUCAAUAAGAGGGUUCUACAAGGCAGUUCAUAGGGUGAUUGUAGUUGAUGGAACGUUUUUGAAGAGCAAAUACAAAGGAGUUCUACUAGUUGCUACUGCCGUAGAUGGUAACUCUAAUUUAUAUCCAAUCGCCCUAAAGAUGAUUUCUCCCGAAAUAAAUACAUCGCAGCAUCCAUAUCCUGAAAAAUAUUAAAUCAUUUAAUAAUCAGUGUACCACAACUUCUUUGUAACACUAAGUAUGUAAUGCAAAGUAAAUGACAAUCGGUAUAACGCACCACGUUGCUAAGCCAUUCGUUCGCUUUCAAGAGUCUACCGAGUAAUGCUUUAUUGAUAACACUUGGACCAAAAUUUAAGUCUCUGAAAAUGUGAAACCAUGAGAAUUAAAUCGAUUGGCAAAGCAUAAAAUUCUAAUAAUUUUAGAGAAAAAUAAUGGACUUACUGGUGCUUCAUAUUCCACUCCAUAAAAGCAUUCCAUCUAGCCUCAGAAACAAACACCAAUACAGCAUCCUUGUCGUUUUUGCCCACGUCAGGAAUAUGUUUACCUUCGCUUUCAAUUUCGAUCAGGCUCUGGAUUUUAUUGCGAUUCAAAUUUGUGUGGAAUCAAAUUCGGGUAGCUGUGAUGGUUGAGAUAAGUGUCCCAUGGAUUUAUCUAAGAAGUCUUGUGUACCAAAACUAAAGUCUAAAAAGUCAUCAUCUAAAGACGUCAUUUCAUCCUACCAUUGAAAAAGAUAUAACGAAAACAUUAAAAUACAACAAAAACCGAAAAGAGCAUGUUAUAAUAAACAAAGUAGGUGAACAAAAUAAAGAUUUAUCUCUUACGUACAUACCACAACUUUUCUAGGCUGAUCUGUUCGAUUGGACGGUUGCGAGGUUGUGGAUCUCGUUGUGAUACUUGCAGUUGCAGAUGUGGAGACCAAUUUCUUCACUAGUGCUAUAUCAUCCUCUAGUUUUCCCAAUUGUGCUUUAAUCGUCUCAAAAGAAGAAUCAAACAAUGCUUUAAGAAAGGACUUCAUUUCGUCAUUUAAAGCUCCAUGUGUUGCUGCUGCUGCUCGUUGACAAAGCAACUUCUUUUUGCGUGUCUCUGCACCGUGAUCAGAUUGUUUCUUCUUACUCCUCUUCAUACCAGAGACAUGGUUCUCUUCAUUCCCAUCUUCAACUAGCUCACUCAGAUGAUCGACCUCAUUCAUGUCUUCAGUUGCAACAUCCUUAUCUGCGACAUCAUUCUCUUGCACAUUCUCAAUAUUGUCGCCUUCUAUAUUAUCCUCUAAGACACUUCCCCAAACAUGGUCUCCAAAAUCAUUCCCAGAUUUGAUCAUUUCAAUCAUAUUAUCCACUUCACCAUCUCUGAUUUCAUCAGGCCAUACAAAUUCUUUGUCAUCAAUGAACUCAUUUCCUGAAUAAGAAAUGAAUGGAUAAAAGACAGCCUACAAAACAUAACAAAAAAAUAUUAAAGAAACACUGGAACCCUACGAGGCAUAAUAGUUUCAUAUGCAAAUAAUUGUCUGCAUCACGUUAACUACCAAUAAGACACACAUGUUUAAAACCCCUAGAUCUUUAAACUCUUAAACUUAAAAUAGAGAAUUGUAAACUCACAUGUGAUGUAAAUGACAUCUCCACCGAGAUGAUGUCCUCAUAUGAUACCUUUGCAGCGCCUUUCCAAUUAGAACAUCGAGGAGCUGCAAUCAAUUCAGUGCUAAUCUUUUCUCCCACCAAUGUUCCAAUGUCUGGAAUUGCUUCCAUCACCCAUAUCUGAAGUGCAUAUGAGAAUCCAUCUAGAACAUAGCUUUUGGUUUUCUUCAAAGCAGAUCUUGCUUUCAUGAUACAUUGUAGUAGAUAAUCAUAAGCUUUAAGACCCCAAGGAUAAUUAUGAACGUUACGAAGAUCCAUCACCAUCUUGAUGUAUAAAUGAUCAAUCUUUUUUGUCUCACCCUUAGCCAUGACCAACCCAGCUAUCACACAAAUAUACACGAAACGAAUUCUGUCGUCCUUCUCCCUCCACUUCUUAACAUCUUCAAUGCUAGUCAUCAAUUUAUUUAUGCAUAUAUCUCCACCUCUUUUCAGCAAUUUACUCCAAAAUCCUUUAUCAUCUUUCCAUUUCUCAUAAUCACAGCUCCCAUCAUCAGUAUACUUGAGACCAGUAACUGCAUAAAAUUCUUGGAGUGAAAAUCUAAGUGGCUUCCCUCCAAACACAAACCAUAGCUCAUGUUUUUUUUUUGUAACCAAUUGUCUACACAUGAUGCUGUGUAUCAAGCGAGCGGAAUAACCUAUUUUAUUUUCGUGUAUUGCAAAGACAUGUGCGAAUACUGGAUCUCUCUUAACUUCAUCAUACUCCGAUGGCAACGUUUCCUUUAUUUUGGUCAGAAGAGACAUUUUGCAGCUGUUAUUUAUCUUCUCCACUUGUGGCUGAUUUCCAUAUGUGAAUAGGCGUUUUGGACACUCGUUUUCCAUGUCUACACAAAAGCAAAAACAAUCUUAAAAUAUGUAAAUAUCAACAUUCAUGGAAUUUUUGUAGCAAAGUUCUUUGUAAAUGUCAACAAUCAACAUAAUAAGUUCAAAAGGCCCAAAAUUAUGUUAUCAAAUUAAGGUUUAGUAACAAAAGAAGAUAAUGGAAGCAAGUCAAGUGAUCAAAGUGUUAGAUUUUGCUUCUUAGGUUACUUAGUGCAAAAGAAAAAAAACAACAAAUUAACGUUUAUGUUAUAACCAAAAUUGCUUUGUUUUAGAAUGACUUAGAAAUAGUCAUAUGUACGAGAUCAAGAGACAAAGAGACAAAGUAACAGAGGACUUGGACAAGAGAGAGACACACACAAGAGAUGAAAACUAAAACUUGUUUUAUUAGACUUUUAGAAACAACACAACACUACAAAUCAAUAAUCCAACACAUGCAAAGAAAUCUAGAAUUUUUCCUGGAUAUACAAGCUCCGAAGAAUUGAAGAAAUCCAAAAAACUACCAAAAGAGAAAAUCAAAAAAGAAGUUGUCGUCAAAAGAAUUAUGAGGAAGUUAACGUCAAAUAAGAAGACAAUUUGGAAUUAUCUUGGCAAGAAUAUUUGGAAAGUAAAUAAAUAUUGUUUUUGUCAUAUAUUUUCUCUAAAUUAUUUUUAGAAAGAAAUCUAAUUAAUUUUGGAAAUUUUUUUAUAGUUUAGCAAGAUUUAAAGAAACUAGGGAUAAAAUGGGAUUUUAAUUAUAUUAAAGCAUAGAUGACCAAUAUUAAAUCAUAUAUGAUCAAUUAUGAAUAUAGAAUGCAUAGAUGGACAAUAAUUAAAUUAUUUAUCCUUUAUAUCCAAUUUUCCCUAAAAUAUAUUAGAAAUGUUCUUAAAAGAGGAGAGAUGAUAUUUAAAUUUCUCAUUUGGGAAUCCCUCUCCUCUCUUCUAAGAACAUAAUCUCAUUUUUUAAUUUAUAUUUUGUUUUAUAUAUUAUUUUGGAAAUCUCUCAAAUGUUUUAUAUAUAAUCUGUCAUGGUUGGAGAUGUUCUAAGAGUAGUUCCAAUGGAGAGUUCUCACCAUGAGAUUCUCUCAAUUUUUUCAGUAUAAAUUUUGUGAAAAUGUGAGAUCAAAACAGGAAUAACGAUUAGUUGUACUACCUUUCUAUAAGAAGAUUAUUGUGAAAUUUUUGUCAUAUAUGCUCAACCAAAUCAGCUUUCAAUUGUUGAUGAAUAUCUCGAUCAUGAACUCGAUUUCGAAUGCCCAUUCCCGAGAUUUAUAGGCAUACUUGGAUAAGUUUAAUAUCUUUAGUUAAACAAAUGUGUAUAAGUUUCAGAAAUUUAAAAUACUAUGUUCAUGAUCAAGAACAAAAACUGAUCUUAUAGAACAUUGCUACUUAAUACGUCCAUUUAUAGAUUGUAUGUCUGUAUUAUACAAAAAUACCUCAUGUAUCUUUACAUCAAACUGCUUCAAAUCUAAAUACAAAGACAAAAAGAACAUCACUAGAGACGAAUCUCUUAUCGGACAAAACCGCAGAAGUUUCAUUUUUGUGGUCAAACUCCGAUCAGAAUCAAACCAAAAAGGGUUUUUCAUUCAUCGAUCAUAAUCAUCAUCUCCUUUAAACAAAAGCUUCUCAUCUUCUCUAGAUCAUAAGGAAGAGUCUAGAGUAGGAGCAUCAGAUCCUUUCAUGAUUCUGAGUCUUUUACACAAAGAAGAGAACAUGUCCCAUGGAACAUCACCAACCAACAUCCAAUCUCGAUCUUUAUCCUCGUACGUUGGUACAAAUCCAAUCUCCAUCACCAUAACCUUUCUUCUUCCUACUACCUUCUCUAAUAAAGAACCACCAAAUAUCACUAAACCAACACAGAAAGAUCCAACAGCUCCAAUAUCAACAAUUUUAUUAAAUACUGAUGAAGGUAAUUCCUCAAGAAAACUCGUCCAUAACUCUUUCUUUCAGGUCAAUCAAAUUAAUAUCAAGCAAGCAAGAAGGAACCUUGAUCUUAUCCCCUUUGUGAGCUUGAAGAUAACAUUUAUGAGGCUUGUACUGUAAAAUAAGAAACUGCAUCAACCAAAAGAGUAUAGAAGCCAAAUCCAUUACCAAUUUCUUCAUUUAGAAAACAAAUGCAAAACCAAAGUAUCCAGCUUGAUGCAAAUUACCAAAAAAAACUGUCUAGAAAAAGCUCUAGAAUGACUGUUAGUAAUAAUAAAACUAGACAACGUUAUCAUAACUAUUAUCAUCAUCUCAUCACACAAUUCAAUUUUACUAGAAUAGAUCAUACACACAUAAUCAAAUAUUGAGUAGAUAAGAUUAAGGUCCGAUUAAAGAACCAAAAAAUACAACGAAUUUAACAAUUAAGUCAUGAUACACAGGGGAAAGGGGCUUGAUUCAUACCUACAGCAAGAAUUUGGAGCUUCCUUCAACGAAUUUGGGAGUCGCAAAUCUUCGAUUCAAUUUCCCUCCGUUUGCCGAUGGUCAGCAGCGUCUCUGUAGUUGAUGAAGCCGGCGGCAUGUAAGUCUCAGAUACUUGAAUCCGGCAUCGAGACGAUCGAAAAUCACAAGGUCCGGCAAAAGAACGGCGUCGCGUCGAUCGCCUUCGCGAGAGAGAGAAACAAUCAGGUUUGUUUUUUUUGCCGAAGGAAGAAUAAGAAAGGAAAAUUUGAGCCUAUAACCAUCAAAAAUUUAAUAAUUCAACAGAAAACCAUAAAAAAAGUUGGGCUAUGAUAUUUGGCAUACAUUGUGUAAUAUAUACAUAUUUACCCUUGUUGUAAUACACGCGCCUAAUAUAGGAGUAUUAUGUAAAUAAUGAUUAGUUAAAGUCCUAACUGUAAUUUCCUAAUCUUAGCUUAACCCUAGUCCUUCUCUAGAGUCUGUAUAAAUAUGUGUAAACAACAUUCUCUCAUUAAUAAGAUUAAUACAAACCUUAUAUGGUAUCAGAGCUAACGCUCCUCUAAACCUAAAACCUUCAAAUUUUCUUUCCAGCCGUCGUCGACACCAUGUCGUCCUCUUCCAACACGCACGAUGUCACCAUCUCUCUCAAUUCAAACGCCAUUGUUCACAUCAACAUGGCUAACAUUUCUAAACUCACCGCUGACACUUACCUCACCUGGAAACUUCAGGUCCAUGCCCUUCUUGAUGGUAUGACCUCGUCAAGCAUCUCGAUGAGUCUGUAGAAGUCCCACCAGCCACUGUUACGGUUGGAACCACCACUUCACCCAACCCAAAUUUUGCAAAAUGGCGACGUCAGGACAAGCUUAUUUACAGCGCUCUCAUUGGGACUAUCUCCACUCCGCUUCAGAAACUUGUGGCUCGCACCACCACUGCCGCAGAAAUCUGGACAAAGCUAGCCUCCACAUAUGCCAAUCCGUCUCGUGGUCAUCUCCUUAUUUUGCGGGAUCAACUCAAGGUGAUAAACAAGGGAACCAAAUCGAUUGACGAAUACAUUCAAGCUUUCACUGCUCGCCUUGACCAACUCGCUCUCCUUGGUAGCCCUAUGGAGCACGAGGAUCAAAUCGAGCUCAUCCUUAAUGGGCUUCCCGAGGAAUAUCAGCCUGCCAUUAAUCAAAUCCAAGGAAAAGACAAAACCCCUCAGAUCACGGAAGUUCAUGAAAGGCUUCUUAAUCAUGAAGCCCGACUUCUCACCAAGCAAGCUGCGGUAACAUCCACAUUUCCAGUCUCCGCCAACAAUGUCCAACAGCGCACCUGCUACAACAACAACCGUAACAACUCCGGCAAACGGAACAACACCAACAACAACUCGUGGCAGCCAUCACAGUACCAAAACAAACCCGACACCCGUUCCUCCAAACCCUACUUAGGCAAGUGUCAAUUGUGUAAUACACAGGGACACAGUGCUCGCCGCUGCCCGCAACUCAAUGCUCUCCAAGCAUCCGCCGGUGCUCCUCCGAGCUCUCCAUUUCGCCCGUGGCAGCCACGCGCGAAUCUUGCGAUGGGUUCCACGUAUCUGGCAGCUCCUUGGCUUCUUGAUUCUGGCGCGACUCAUCACCUCACAUCCGAUCUUAAUAACUUGUCGCUUCAUCAACCUUACAAUGGAGGUGAUGAUGUUCUAAUUGCUGACGGGUCUACCAUGGCAAUUACACACACGGGUUCUUCGCUUCUUCCUAAUCAAACUCGUGCUUUACUUCUUGAUAAAAUACUAUGUGUUCCUGAUAUACAGAAAAACCUUAUCUCGGUUUAUCGUCUAUGUAACACUAACCGUGUGUCGGUUGAAUUUUUCCCUGCAUCCUUUCAGGUGAAGGAUCUCAGCACGGGGGUCCCAUUACUCCAAGGCAGGACUAAAAAUGAGUUGUACGAGUGGCCGGUGACAUCUUCAAAACCGGUAGCAAUGGUGUCUUCUUCUGGUCAUAAAGCUAGUCUCACAUCUUGGCAUUCAAGAUUGGGACAUCCCUCUUCGUCUAUUUUAAAUUCAAUAAUUUCCAAGUUUGCUAUUUCCGUUUCAUCUUCUUCUCAAAAACAAUUAUCUUGCUCCGAUUGUCUUAUUAAUAAAAGCCAUAAGCAACCUUUUUCUCAAACCACUAUUGUUUCCAACCGACCACUUGAAUAUCUUUUUACAGAUGUUUGGACCUCACCAAUUCUUUCUGUUGAAAACCACAAAUACUAUCUUAUUUUUGGUUGAUCAUUUCACUCGCUACACAUCGCUUUAUCCACUCAAACGUAAAUCGGAUGUCAAAGAAAUUUUUCCAGCUUUUAAAGCUCUAGUCGAAAAUCGUUUUCAAAGCAAACUUGGAACAUUAUUUUCAGAUAACGGAGGUGAAUUUAUUGCGCUACGCGGUUUCCUCGGCAAACAUGGUAUCUCACAUCUCACGUCUCCGCCACAUAUGCCGGAACAUAAUGGCCUAGCUGAACGCAAACAUCGUCAUAUCGUAGAGACCGGUCUCACUCUCAUGUCCACUGCGUCUAUUCCGAAGGAGUAUUGGUCCUACGCAUUCUCAACCGCCGUUUACUUGAUCAAUCGAAUGCCAACACCGGUUCUCUCUAUGGAGUCUCCAUUUGAGAAAUUGUUUGAUCAGUCACCGAAUUAUGAGAAGCUGCGAAUCUUUGGCUGCCUAUGCUUUUCGUGGUUGAGACCGUAUACAAUGCACAAACUUGAUGAUCGUUCGCAACCGUGUGUGUUUCUUGGAUACUCUACAUCACAAAGUGCUUAUUUUUGUCUACAUCAACCUACAGGACGCAUUUACGUCUCCCGACAUGUUCAAUUUGAUGAAUCAAAAUUCCCAUUUGCUGCUCCGACGACUCCGUUGGUUGAAACAGAGGCUUCCUUACACACCACGAAUACGUCGUCACCACUUUUGCUUUCUCUCUCCUCGCCGGAGGUUCAGCCGCCGCAAAUACCACCACCGGCACUAUCAUCAUCGGCACCACCGGUCCCGACUGUAGCUGCUCCGUCCCCUGCUGCUCGUGAAGAGAACUGUUCACAUGGGCCACUUAUUAAUUUGGGAUUAAAUGAGAUAGGCCCAACAACAACUACUUUAAAUGAGGCCCAGCACCCUAAAUCUCCUACAGGCCCAACUCAAGCCCACCAUCAUACUUCAUCGUCUACCUCUUCUCAAACAGACGCCAGCAGCUCCUCGCCAUCGCCCGAGCCUUCUCUGACGCCUUCAAUGGGACCCUCACGCUCCGACCUUCACCUGCCGUCGUCGCCAACGUCCACACCACAAGUAUUAUCUCCUAACUAUGUCUCAUCUACUCCGUCUACAACUUCUGAGCCCACUGCUCCAAAACAUAAUGAGUCGCAAACCUCGACUCAGCUAAACCGUGAUUCAAAUGAGCCCACUGCUCUUCGCCAAAAUGAGCUGCGACCUACAGCUCAGACUCAGUCACAAACAAAUUCCCAAACAUCCCACCAAGCUACGUCUACGCAACCAGAUAACCAAAAUUUAGCUCCACCACAAAACAACCACAAAAUGCAAACUAGAGCCAAAAACAAUAUUCGAAAACCCAAACAGAAACACAGCCUUACGGUAACAAUCAAUCCACAGCUACUAAAAGAGCCUACAACGAUACAACAAGCUUUGAAAGAUGAGCAAUGGAGUCGGGCGUGCUCUAGUGAAUUUGAUGCUCUUGCGGUUAAUCGAACAUGGGAUUUGGUUCCUUCUCAAAUGGGACAGAAUAUUGUUGGUUGCAGGUGGGUCUUCACCACGAAAUUCUUAGCAAACGGACUGCUUGAUCGAUACAAGGCGCGGCUUAUAGCAAAGGGAUUUCAUCAACAAUACGGGAAAGACUAUGCAGAAACGUUUAGCCCCGUUAUUAAAUUGACAACAAUUCGUCUCGUUCUUGAGGUUGUAGUUACAAAGAAUUGGUCUCUCAAACAAUUGGAUGUCAACAAUGCGUUUCUCCAAGGCGAACUCACCGAAGAAGUCUAUAUGUCCCAACCUCCGGGAUUUGUUGAUAAGGAUCGACCAUCUUAUGUCUGCCGCUUGCGAAAACCUAUUUACGGACUGAAACAAGCACCAAGGGCGUGGUAUAUGGCUCUUAAACAGUUUCUUCUUGCCACCGGUUUCACGAAUGCCUUAGCCGAUACAUCGCUCUUUGUUCUCAGUUCCGCCAAUACUAUCACUUAUGUUCUUGUGUAUGUGGACGACAUCAUCGUCACAGGUAACAAUGAUCGUGUGAUUUCUCAAGUCUUAGCCUCUUUUGCAGAACGAUUCUCGAUUAAAGACCCAACAGAUCUUCAUUACUUCCUUGGAAUAGAGGUUACACGUUCUGCUAAAGGACUACAUUUAAUGCAGCGCAAGUAUGUUACUGAUUUGCUUACCCGUCACAACAUGUUAGACGCCAAACCUGUGACCACACCAAUGCAAUCUUCCCCGAAACUUACAAUCUCAGAUGGUGACCCGCUGGAUAAUCCCGCUCCAUAUCGAUCACUAGUUGGAAGUCUUCAAUAUCUUGCUUUCACGCGACCUGAUAUCUCGUAUGCGGUAAACCGUCUUUCACAAUUUGUUCACAAACCAAGUGACGCACAUUGGCAAGCAGCCAAACGUAUUUUACGAUACUUGGCGGGAACGAUUGCACACGGUAUAUUCCUCCAAGCAUCAUCACCAAUGAUCCUUCAUGCCUAUUCAGAUGCUGAUUGGGCUGGCGAUAAUGAUGACUAUGUCUCCACCAAUGGUUAUUUGAUCUACCUAGGUCGAAACCCCAUCUCAUGGUCUUCCAAGAAGCAACGCGGUAUUGCUCGCUCUUCCACCGAAGCUGAGUAUCGAGCUGUCGCAAACACCGCAUCCAAGGUACAAUGGCUUUGUUCACUUCUUACUGAGCUUAAAAUACCUAUCCAAACAGCGCCGGUAAUUUACUGUGACAAUAUUGGGGCGACAUAUCUUUGUGCAAACCCGGUUUUCCACUCUCGUAUGAAACAUAUUGCAUUAGAUUACCACUUUGUCCGCAACCAGAUUCAGGGAGGAAUGCUGCGAGUCUUCCACGUCUCUACCAAUGAUCAAUUAGCAGACACACUUACCAAACCGCUACCGCGGACGCAUUUUCAAAGAGCAUGUGUCAAGAUUGGAGUUACAAGAGUACCUCCAUCUUGAGGGGGCGUAUAGGAGUAUUAUGUAAAUAAUGAUUAGUUAAAGUCCUAACUGUAAUUUCCUAAUCUUAGCUUAACCCUAGUCCUUCUCUAGAGUCUGUAUAAAUAUGUGUAAACAACAUUCUCUCAUUAAUAAGAUUAAUACAAACCUUAUACCUAACACAUCAUGUCUUUAACCUCAAACUAUCAUAUCUCUCUCCGUCAUCGCCAAAAAACAGUCAACAACGACACCAACAUAAUCGUCUAUAUAAGUCCUCCUCCUUAAGGAGAUGAUGAUGUAAUCAUCGGUAAAGGUUCGAUCGUCCUAUUCCGAUGUUGUAAAAUCUUAUCCGAUUGCCACUUUGUGUGGAUGUAGAAGUCACAGCCAUCGCGGAGUAUACCAUUAAAACGAUUUGAUUUGGUGGACGAGUUAACCCACUGUCUCAGCACGCUCCAUGACCUUCGAACCUGUGAGUCAUGGCAAGUAAUCCUCGAAAAGAAAGUUCAAUUCCCUAUUGCAGCAAAAAGUACAAGGGGUGUAGAUAAAUAUUUUAUCAAUAUAGAGAUGGAUAGGAAUGAAGGAGAGAUAAAGUGAGACAGAGGAGAAGAUGAAAAUGGAAUAGAUUUGUUUUAAAUGGAAUAGAUUUGUUUCAAAUGGAAUAGUAUUGUAACUUAAAGAAAAAUAAAUUCUUUUCAAUUGUUUUCUUUUUAUCUUUUAUAAAUAUAUAUAUUGUUUUCAAUUAUAUAUAUAUAUAUAUAUAUAUAUAUAUAUAUAUAUUUUUUUUUCGGCAAAUCAAAUAUAUUGAUAUCAUAAAAGUUUACAAGGUACAGAAUAGAUACAAAACAACCAUUGUACGCAAAUAUAGGAAAUUGAAACAAUUUUGAUGAAAGAGUGGAGAGUAACCCUGCUAUCAAAAGCCUUACGGGCUAACAGAUGAAAUCUGUUAUGUCCCUCUUUCACAUACUUGUUAUUGGCUAUCAGCUUGCUGCUGAGACUCCAAAAUGCCUUUAGCAUUACUUUACUUUUGAAAUGUGAACUUAAUGUUGUUGGAGAUAAUACUGUAUCUUGUCGCUUCGUUGAAAUCAAUACAUUUGACGACUCCGAGAAAGACUCGCUUUGAUCAGUGGGUAGUCGCCUUUGUCUUAUCACCCAUAUUUGUUGCCAUGGUAAAUGUUUUCUCUUCUUAAAAUCAGACAUGCCAUUCAUGGAAUCUACUUGUGAACCGAGAUAAACCAAGACCCAAUCCAAAAAAACAAGUGGCCAUCUGGGCGAGGUCGAGGCUUCAUCUAUCUUCAAUAGAAAACCAAAUUCGUCUUCUGAUGCAUCGUAUUCAAGGAUGACGUUCAUAAAUGGUUGGUGUAAAAUCAUCAUAUGCGGUCGUCUCCUCAUGUAAUCGUGAACAAAACACUGUGAAGAAGAAGCCUUUCGUUGGACCAGAUACUUCUCGGGAAUCAUCGGGUGCGCCGUUAAUUCCCUCUUUGUCGCCAAUCGAAGAUCUUUGAGCAUAGAUCUUGGGUAGCGAUGCGCAGGGAAUUCCGGUAUAGAAUGGCCAAAUAGCGGCACAAGAUCACCAGAAUUAAUCCAUUGUGUUUGACUGUUCUUCUUUGUUUCCACUAGUUUGAUGAUAUCCUCAUCUUCCGCCAAAACUCUAUUGAUGCCGGGAUCAAAUAUCCAAGUGAAACCUCCAUACCCUUGGGUAAGAGGACAAUCACCGGUUGAUAACCGGAAAAACCACCGGCGCCAAGGGAAAGCACCGAAAACAAACCUUCUCCGUGGAAGGAAAACACAAUUCCAUUGAAUCGACAUUACAAAGGAAUAGAGAUAUUGUAGAGGAGAUGACUCUGUCAGAUCUGGCGAAUGUCUCUGAUGGAAUUGAUCCACAACCCAAAUCAGGAAUGGAUCCGGGAAGGAGAACAGACUCUGAUUUGAGAGCGAGAGGCGCGAUCCUUCAGACAUCAUCAUCGAAAAUAGACAAGGAACAUGGGUGGGAUGGUCGUGAUUUGCCAUUAUCGACUAAAAUUAGAGAAAAUGAAACCAAUUGAAGAAGAAAACAACGAUGGCCGACGCCGGAGAAGCCGACGCCGGCCGAAAACGGUGAACAAAAAACGAAACGGCGCUUGUCGUUGAAGUCGCUCGGAGGAGAGAGAAGAGAGGAUUUUAUCGAUCAGAAUUUUCUCAUACCGGAAUUAAUAUAUAUAUAUAUAUAUAUAUAUAUAUAUAUUAACCUUAUAUUUAUAUUUUACAAAUAUUAAUUUGAAUUCAUGAUUGUUUAACAUGGCAAAUUAGGUUUUUCAUGUUGUAUUAUUUUAUAUCCAUUUAACUUGGUUUUUAAUUUGGGUUCUCUAUGUUGCAUCACUUAAGAUAUAGUGUUUCUUCUUUGUCACGCCGCAUGACUCAUGCAAUUAUUCAGUAUUUUGUGUUCUCUACUACCGCUAUCGUAUUAUAUAGAACACUACAAUGUUCUAUUCUAUUUUUCUAAAUAUAUUCAAUAUUUUCAAUUUUAAAAUUUAUUGAUAUCAUCAAUUUUAAAAGAUAUGUUUUGGGUUUGGGUUUAGACGGUUAGAUUUAGGGUUUAGUAUUUUUAAGUUUAAGUUGAUUUAAAUGUAAUUUAUAAGAAAUAGUAUAGUACAACAUUUAUUUUGUGUGAUCCUAUAUAGUAUAACAUAUGUUUUUUUUUUUUGUUACAAAGACUAUUCACCACGUAAAAUGUUUAUGUCCGUUUUGAAAAAUUCACCCUAUGAUAUAUUCAGAAAAAAUAAUCUAAACUUUUUCUAAUAGAACUGAAAAUUUUAAUUUAUUUAUUUUUAAGAACUUUUCUGAAAACAAAUAUGGGGGUAAACGUUUUUUGUUCAAAGUUCAAACCAAUAAAAAUUAAAUAACAAAAUGAAACUUCAUAUUCCCCUUCUCUAGCACCUAUCACACGUGUACUACACAUAUGGUUAGUUUUGUCAUUUUACAAUGUCUGAUGGUUAUUUCCUUUGUUUUCAAAAUUAAGGUGCUAUAUUCUUAAUUUGUUUAUCAGAUUUGGUUAUACACUUAAAUCACCCAAUAAGAAAAGACGGGACAUUUUUUUUGUUUUGUUAAAAAUGAUGCUACAAUCAGAGUCCGCCACGUGUACGGUUCUCUAAAUUGAGCAAAACUCUCUGAAGAGAGACGAUUUAUAACAACUAAUAAUUUUUUUUGAAAUAAUAAUAAUAAUAAUUUUUAUUUACAAGUUUUGAAGAUCCGAGCAAGCUCAUCUUCUAGAAUCAAAUCACAUCGACGAAAGGUAGCACUGGAAGGGCAGAGUACCCAAUUUUUUUUUAUCUUUGUGCAAGUAAUGAUCGUGUCAGCAUCUCUCCUUCCUCUAGCGCAGCAAAGCAGCCCGAAGCACUUUCUUUCUCUAGCGCAGCAGAUAGGUCGCCCAUACCCUUUGCCCAUUGGUGUGCUUUAGUCAAGAUGUAAGUUCUUAAAUGAUUUAAAGACAAACAAAUAUUUUCAAAUUAACAGAGAGUUAUUUUCAAAAAGAAAAAAAUUAUAUAUUUUAUAUUUUUAGAAAUUAUAAACAGGAUAUUUUACGUAAUUAUUUAAGGUUAUUUGAAAAGAUAUCAGGAUUUAUAAAAAGUUAUAAUUGGAGGAAAUAAAAAGAGAGUAAAUUUGGAAAAAUGCUUUGUUUUUGUUUACACUUUUGAAAAAUACCCUAUUUUGUUUUCUUUUAAACAAUUAAUUUAAAAAUAUGUAAAAUUACUUAAUAACUUUACUAAAACUUAAUGGAAAAACGGUAUUUUCAUACCUUAACUCACUAUGUGUGUUCAAUUCAUACCUCAACUGUACAUGCGUGCAAAUACAUACCCAAACUAACUCAAAAUUCAAAUUCACUAUCUCAUCUUUCUAUUCUGUGCCAAAACAGACAUAUCACGAGACGUCAUUAACGUUCCGUUUACUGUAGAUUAUGUGGCUGCCAACUCACUAAUGACAUGUUUAAGACUUAAUAAAAACACCAAAAAUUAGAAUAAAACGAUUAGACUUCAAUCCAUUAACCUACAUCUUUAUUUCUAAAUUCAUUUAACAUAUUGUCUUCCUCUCGAUUGUGACUAAUAAGAACACAAAUCUGAAUUCCUCUUGCAUGGUACACGAAAUUACAUAAAUCUGAAGAUAUUGGCAACGAUUUCGAACAAGGAGUUGUUGUUGCUUCUCGCCUAUUGGAACAAUGAGGUCAUUUCAAUCUUAUUUAGGUUUCAUUUUAAUUCGGGUCUGUAAAAUAACAAUUUCGUAUGUAACUGGUGAUGGAUUUAGUGGGUAUCCGUAUAGCUUAGAGUAUAUGUUUGUGUGUGUGUCACUAAUUUCAUUUUGGGCUAAUAAGACACAAAUAACUGUUCAUGCACACCAGGAGGUGUUCGACAGAAUGUCAAAAUCCAAAAUUGAUGUUUUUCUUUGCUUGUUUCAGCGAUGAAGAUGUAGAUGCAGUAUUUCAGUGCUAUUACGAUGGAAAUUUUUGUAGUCUCACAAGGAAUAAACUUAGCUAUGUUGGAGGAAGCGUUCUCUCCGUUAUGAGCAAGCCACGUCUGUAACGCCCCCGAACCGCUCUAUGACCAAACAAGCCACGGGCGACCCGGAGACGUCACGUAGACAGCUCACACAGACGUUCCAGCAGAGGUUCCAAACGAAUUCAGACCCUUAGCCGAACCAUCCGCGCGAGCCAUCCCUCACGAACGCGGUUUAAGCUUUUCAACCCUUACCGUGAUCGCGAGUUGUGUUAGUCCGGACAAGACUAAUAUCGGGUGAAACACACACAAAAUAAGAAACUACUCCUUUUAUAUCAUAUAAACGUUUUACAACAAGUAACCAAAACAACAAUAACAAUAAGUGCCGUGAGCCAACAUGCUCAAAUCGACACAACAAUAAAACUCACUAAGUUUUACAAAAGCAACAACUCUAUACCGGCUUUCCUACGUCCUGAGCAUCCCCCUAAUGGUUCCCACUAAGGUUUCCUGCAAAACAAAAUGGAGUCAUAAGUAAUCUAGGAUUACUUAGUGAGCUCGGAUUCCUUGCAACACAAAACAAUUCCAACCCAACCCCAAAAACAAUAACAUCAAGCAUAAUCGAUAUACAAAUAUAUCAGAGAAUGCACUGCUCUCGAUCACUAAAACGUAAUAAUAAUUAUCCAAAAUAUAGAUUUUAAAAUAUAAAACGAUUUUUAAUAAUAAAUAAAUAUUUUAUUUUAUAAAAAUUGUUACAUUAGUAUCGUUUAAGGAUUUGUUAUCCUAAAUAUGUUUUAAGAAAUUAAUAAUAAAUAUUUUAUUAUUUAAAAAUGAAUAUUCUAUCACAUAAAAAGUUACUGGAACUUGUGCCUAUAGUUAGGUAUAUGGUUUAAACAUUUACCUUGCAAGUGUUUCAGAGAUGUAGACUUCGUUGAGUUCAUAUGUUUGGAGUUUUUGAUAUUGUUUGCUUUAUAUAACAUGAUAAAUAUUAAGCUAUAAAUUUUUUAAUAUUUUUAGAUAUAAUCUUAUUAAUUUUAGUAUAAAAAAAUCAAUAAACCAUCUUUCUCUUAAAAUAAAAUAAAAUGUAUAAUAAUAAUUAAUAAUUUUCCGAAUUUAGCUUAUCUUAAUCUCCAAAAUUUAAAAUUAGUUUUAAUUUAUUAAAAAUAUAGAUUCUAAUUUAAAUCAGGAAAAAAUGUCAUAUUUCACAUAUAAAAAUGUAGUUUUUAUUUAAAAUAGAAAAAUGGUAUUUUAGGCAUACUGCCCUGUGGAAUGAACUUUCUUACUACUUCAUUAACCAAAUGUUAGAAUUAGUAAGAAUCAAACAGACCAGCUAAGAUUAUUUGGCUUUUUAAAUCUCACCAAUUAAUGUUUUAAGAUUCUUGGGAAAGAUAUGUUUUAACCCUCUUCAAUAUAAUAAACCUGUUUUCGACAAAAAAAAAAAAAAAGAGUAUAAUAAAAUUGCAAGGGAGUGAAAAUCUAUUUAUUGGACUGAAUGACACUAAUUCACAUUCUUUUGCUCUUAUUUAAAAAAAAUUCCUUAAAACCAAUAAAAUUUAAAAAUAGAGUGGGUGAGCAAUGUCUUUCUUGUAUGACAUAUUCUUUGAUUUUGUUGUUCACAAAGUCUUCUAUUAAAUACCAGUUUGUCUUUUAGAUAUUUUGGUUAUAGGAAAUAUUCAUAAAGCUUCUCUCCCGACAGAGUCAAAGUGUGCAUCUAAUAUAUAGAAAGCGUCUUUGUGAAUCCUUCCUCCACCAUAAAAGUUCUUGAUCCUCUCUUCACCUUACUAAUGAAUCCUUCUUUUUUCCUUGGCAUUGUUGUAGCUGCAAUAGACUUCUUCAUGCUUUUUAGAAUAUUCAGAUUCCAACAAGAAAACAAAGAAAUUGAUUCUUCUUCUGCAUCUCCUUCAUCAGUUUCUCCAUCUACGUCGUCUCAUAACUGGACACAUCAAGUCUUUCCAAGCUUCCGCGGGGAAGAUGUCCGCAGAAACUUUCUUAGUCAUAUUCAAAAAGAGUUUCAGAGAAAGGGAAUCACAACAUUCGUUGAUAAUGAGAUCAAGAGAGGAGAAUCCAUUGGUCCUAAACUCAUACAUGCGAUUAGAGGAUCUAAGAUCGCGCUCGUCUUGCUUUCUAAGAACUAUGCUUCUUCAUCGUGGUGUCUUGACGAAUUGGUGGAGAUCAUGAAGUGCAAAGAAGAAUUGGGUCAAACAGUGUUGCCUAUUUUCUAUAAGAUUGAUCCAUCUGAUGUUAAGAAGCUCACCGGAAAAUUUGGGAGUGCUUUCAAAAAUAUUUGCGCAUGUAAAACAAAUGAGAUUAUUCGCAAAUGGAGACAAGCUCUAGCGAAAGUGGCAACAACCACCGGUUACAGUUCUCGCAACUGGUUCGUCUUUCUGAUUUUCAUAUGCUCUUAAUCUCUCUAAAACAUAAUAACAUUUGUUUAUAUAUGGAUGUGUGAUAUUCAGCCAAGAAAUUAUAUUUUUGAAUGUGUAUGUUAACUUUUCAUGACUAAUAUAAUGGAUUUAUUUACUGAUCUUCCAUCUUAAUUAGGGAUAAUGAAGCGGACAUGAUUGAAAAAAUAUCCUCUGAUAUAUUGAAAAUGUUGAAUUAUACUACUCCAUCAAGUGAUUUUGGCGGCUUAAUUGGGAUGGAAGCUCAUAUGAAAAAAAUGGAACAGUUGUUAUGCCUAGACUCUGAUGAAGUGAGGAUGAUAGGGAUUUGGGGUCCGUCUGGGAUUGGUAAGACCAUCAUUGCCAGAGUCUUAUUUAACCAAUUUAACGGCAGUUUUGAACUAAGUGUCUUUGUGGAGAAUAUCAAAGAGUUAAUGUGUAGGCCACUGUGUUCUGAUGACUACAGUACAAAGUUGCACAUACAGAGACAGUUUAUGUCUCAGAUAACCAACCAUAAGGAAAUGGAGAUUUGUCAUUUAGGAGUUGUACAAGAUAUGUUACACGACAAGAAGGUGCUUGUUGUUCUUGAUAACAUCGAUCAGUCAAUACAACUAGAUGCUAUCGCAAAAGAAACUUGUUGGUUUGGUCAAGGAAGUCGGAUUAUAAUCACAACGCACGAUCAAAAACUUUUGAAGGCACAUGAUGACAUCAACCAUAUUUACAAAGUGGGUUUCCCAUCAGCAAGUGAAGCUUGUCAAAUAUUUUGUAUGUAUGCUUUUGGACAAAAGUUCCCUAAAGAUGGUUUCGAAGAUCUUGCAUGGCAAGUUACAAAACUUUUAGGAGGACUACCAUUGGGACUAAGAGUUAUGGGCUCCCAUUUCCGAGGAAUGUCUAAGGAAGAGUGGAUAAAUGCACUACCACGGUUAAAGACUCGCCUUGAUUCCAGUAUUCAAAGCAUUUUAAAGUUCAGUUAUGAUGCCUUAUGGGAUGAAGAUAAAGAUUUAUUCCUCCAUAUAGCUUGUCUUUUCAACAAUAAAAGGACUAGCAAAGUCGAAGAGCAUCUAGCGCAUAAGUUCUUGGAUGUAAGGCAAGGGUUGUACGUAUUAGCUGAAAAAUGUCUCAUAUCUAUUGAUACUGAAUGGAUAAAGAUGCAUAAUCUGCUAGAGCAAUUGGGUAAAGAAAUUGUCCGUCAUGAGCCUGGGCACCAAUCUAUUUGUGAUCCUGGGAAGCGUCAAUUGUUAGUUGAUGCUAGAGAUAUUUGUGAAGUAUUAACUGAUGACACGGUUGGUUCUAUUAUUAGUCUUCCAUUUCCUUUUGCUCGCUUCCUACAUAUUAAAUUCAUUUGAUAACUAACCUUCACUAGUUAUCUACCUUUUUACGGUUCUCUUUCAGGGUAGUAGUAGUGUUAUAGGUAUACAUUUCGACCCAUCUGAGUUGUUAGGCGAAUUAAAUAUAAGUGAGGGAGCUUUUGAGGGAAUGUCCAACCUCAAAUUCUUAAGAUUCAAGUGCACAUACGGUGACCAGAGCGAUAAAUUGUACUUACCGAAAGGUUUGAGUUUGCUAUCUCCAAAACUUACUACAAUGGGGUUGUUUUCCGAUGUCAUGUUUGCCUUCCAAUUUUUGUACGAAGUACCUUGUCGAGCUAAACUUGCGGUUCAGCAAACUUCAUAAGCUGUGGGAAGGAAAUCUGGUACAUAUUUGUUCUGUGUUUCUUUUUGGUUUUAAAUUUUUUUGGUUUGAUUUUGUUUUUAUAGUAUGUUUGUUUUCUUACAUCUUUUAGGCUUCAAAAAGAAUGACCUUAACACUUCGUGUUUAUUUGAACUUUAAACUUAAUUGUUUGGAGAUUUCUUUAUUUUUCUUUACUAGUAAAUGUGUUCAUUUAUGUUGCCUUUGUUUGAUUGUACAGCCUCUUGAAAACCUCAAGUGGAUGGUUUUGAGUUACUCGAAAAACCUAAAGGAGCUACCUAAUCUCUCAACCGCUACUAAACUUCAAGAAUUGUUUCUCAUUGACUGCACAAGUUUGGUGGAGCUCCCCUCCUCUAUCGGGAAUGCCAUUAGUCUCCAAACAUUGCACCUUGGUGAAUGUAAAAGUAUAGUGGAGCUCCCCUCCUGUUUUGGUAAUGCCAUUAAUCUCUCAUGGUUGAAUCUCUCUGGAUGCUCAAGUUUGGUGGAGUUGCCUUCUUCUAUUGGAAAUGCCACUAAUCUCGAGAUAUUGCAUAUGGAUAUGUGCACCGAUGUAGUGAAGCUACCCUCCUCUAUUGGCAACCUGUAUAAAUUGAGAGAGUUUACUUUAAAAGGAUGCUUAAAGUUAGAGAUUCUUCCUACCAACAUCAACUUGGAAUCACUCGAUGAACUUAAUCUCACUGAUUGUUUGUUGUUGAAAAGAUUUCCCGAGAUAUCCACAAACAUCAAACAUCUCUAUCUCAAUGGAACUGCAGUAGAAGAAGUGCCUUCGUCGAUCAAGUCAUGGUCUCGUCUUGAUGACUUGCAUAUGUCAUACAGUGAAAGCCUUAAGAAAUUCCCCCAUGCUCUUGAUAUCAUCACAACGCUAUACGUUAACGAUUUAGAAAUGCAUGAAAUUCCACUGUGGGUUACGAAAAUCUCUUGUCUUCGGGGACUUAAACUCAACGGAUGCAAGAAGCUAGUAUCACUCCCACAGCUUCCAGAUUCCUUAUCAUACCUAGAGGCAGUAAAUUGUGAGUCAUUGGAGAGACUUGAUUUCUCCUUUUACAAUCCAAAGAUAUAUCUCAACUUUGUUAACUGCUUCAAAUUGAAUAAAGAAGCCAGGGAACUCAUCAUCCAGACUAGUACUGACUAUGCGGUCUUACCUGGUGGAGAAGUGCCUGCAAAAUUCACUUACCGAGCUAAUAGAGGAAAUUCCAUGAUAGUAAACUUGAAUCAUAGGCCUCUUUCAACAACCUCAAGAUUUAAAGCUUGCAUCUUGCUGGUUAAUAAAGGGGACAAGGAGAAUGAGGCAAAUAGAAGGGAUUUGAUGGUAACUUAUCGCAUAAUGGACAAACAUAAUCUUAGCGUCGUUCCAUGCAGACCUACAUACCACUUUAUCCGGCCUCCCACUUUAGCGGAGCAUUUGUACACCUUUGAAUUUGAAGCGGAUGUGACAUCCAACGAGCAUAUCUUUGAGUUUAAAGUCGACAAUAACGAGAUGGUGAUACAAGAAUGUGGAGUACUCCAACCAUAAGCCUCUUCAUGUUCAUGUAGAUGAAGAGAGAUUUAGAGAAAGCGAGUGGAAGUUUAUCAUGAGAAUUAAUACUCCCAUUUUAAAGUCGCGAGUCUUGGUUAAGCUGUUACUCGAUGUGCACUUUUUAACGUUUGGUGUUGGUUUUGUAUAGUUGUAUGUACAGAGAACUUAUGUGUAACACCAACUCUAUGUGAUUUCCAAAAAGAGAGAGGAAAAAAAAAAUAACUUGCUGUCGACAUUUCUCAUUUUUAAAUUUUCCCAAUAAAACCCCAAUUUUUUUUUAUCUAUAAAAUUAACCCAACUGUAGUCGAGAAACCAAAACUUCUAAAGAAACCCAUAAGUUUCAUUAUUUAGGCGAAACUUCUAAAGAAACCCAUUUGCAUUCACUUGAAUCCUUGUUCUCUGCAAUUUGGAGUUUCUUGAAUUCUUCUCGUCGUAGUCUUUGAAUCCUAAAGGAACAAUCUUUUGUGUCAGAGAACGGCUCUAAGAUGACAGAGGACAAAGAUGAGGCUAGGGUUUCUCCAAGCGCUACAACGAACGAGGCAAAUGUAUCAACUUUCAUUGUUUUAACCUUUAUCGUCUUCAAUCUGAUUCAUCUUUUCGUGAAUUUGACACCAAGGUUUAACCAUUCGAUUCAACUACUUUGAUUUUAGUUUUGGAAUCUAUUUUGUGAAUAAAGAUUGUGGCUUUUUUUUUAUUUUUGGCUCUGAACCUUUUGUUUAGGCUAUGCUUAUCUUAAAUCCUGACCAAGUUUUAACCCUCUUUUGGGCUACAGUCGAACACAUUUAAAAAAUGAAAUGGAAUUCAAAGAAUAUUUCACAUUACCAAUAGCAAUUGGAACGAAAUUUUAAAUGUGUUUUUGAACUUUCUAGUUACAGUAAAACCACUAUAAAUUAAUAUUGUUGGAAACAUGAUAUUUUAUUAAUUUAUAAUGAUAUUAAUUUAUCUAUAAAUUCACAAUUAAUUUUUAAAAAUUAACUUAAUUUUCUGUUUAUUUUGCUUAGUUAAUUUUUAAAAAUGUAAUUUAAUUUGAAUUUAAACUUUCUUUUAUACUCGCUAUUAUUUUUUUUGAAUAAAAUGUAAAAUUUAUUCGAAAAAACCUUUUUUACAUCAAGUGCAGUGUUUGUUUUAGCGGCUUUUGAAUACAAAAUUUAAAAGAGAGCAAAGAUGUGGGCGCCUAUAUUAUCUUGAAGCGAACCAAAUUGCCAUACAAUCAUCGUAUCUCCUAUCACCUUGUUCUCGAAUGGAGGAGAUUCUGUUCCAGUCUUGCUUAUCAAGUCCCCGGAUCAUGUGAGUUGAGGGAGUGGGUACUUCUCCAUGUCGACGACUGUUUCGUUUUUUCCAUACUUAAUGGACCGUGAGCUGAAAGGUAUAUCUUAUCAAGAACAAGCACUCAUUCCCGAGAGACCUGUCCGUGAGGAGCUUUAUGACUGUUUACCAAACUGUUGUGGAUUGUUGCGAGACUAGUGAGUCCCGACCAAACCUCUGCCGAGUAUGGACAUCUGAAGAACAAGUGGCUGCAGGUUUCCAAGGGUUCAUGACCGAAGACACAUGAUGGAUCUACUCCGACAUUCCAACAUAACAUUCUGUCCCCGGUAGUUGAGCGAUUCUUUAUCUCAAGCCAAAUUGGAUGAGUAUUUGGGCGUGGAAUGUGAGAACCAGAUACCUUUAUAUCACUCUACCUUUGGCUUUGCUUCUCGAGUAGCUUCCCAAGUCACUUUUGUGCUGAAUUUUGUUUUAAAACGAUCACCCUUUAAUUUUCCCUUCCAACGCACUAUGUCUUCCGCUUCUAUUAACCCUAUAGACUGUAUGUCUUCGAGAGCUGUUUCCAACUGACUUAAAAUAUCUAUCCGGUGGCGCCUCCUUCUAUGACUCACUCUACUGCUUCAGCCACAGUGGCGUGAAGAGUGAUCCCCAUAGGCAAUAUCCAUACAACCUCUUUUUCCUGUGAUUUCUAAACCUACCGAAUUGUGACCAAUUAGCAAACCAAAAAGAGAUAUUUUUUUGGGUGAUUUAGGUGAAUAACCCAAAAAAAAAGAAAAAUUAGUUUUUUAGAAAGAAGGUAGAGAGAGAUAGGAAGAGAAAGAGAGUGAAUAGGGGGGUUAGAGGUUAGAUAUUUAAUUUUGUUGUUUUUUUAGGUUAUAGGGUGCAAUUUCUCUAUUUUUUUUUUGGUUUUAAAAAAAGAGAUAUUUCUACCACUUUGUAUCUCAUUCUUUACAAACUCAGAAGCUAGAGCUCUAUAUUUGAGAGUAGCUUUUUCCACAUCCAAGACCCUGCAGAUGUGUUUUCAUUUAUUGACCAGAAGGAGCCCUUUCGUAAUAAGUAUAACCGUAGCCAUUGCACCCAAAAAGAUUUUGACGAUAGCAUUCUCCAAAUAAGCUUUAAGCAACUAACCUUGUUUGCUUCUUUUAAGGAUUUGAGGCCUAACCCUCCUUCCUCCUUCGGUGUACAUACAUCACUCCACGCCACUUUUGCUUUCUUAGUGUUUAGUGGACCACAAGCUGUCGAUCUCCUUCAUUUCAUACACGCACUCGGUAAGCGAAAAGCGGGCAUCCAAAAAUUGUUAAUGAGUUGCAGACGACCAGCAAAGGAUAUGUGUCUUGCCGUCCAUUUACCAAUUGGUGCUAUGAUUUUUUCUAUAAGCUGUGUGUAGUCACUUGAUGCCAAUCUCUUUGUUAACAAUAACUAGGGUUAAAACCCGCGCUACGCUGCGGGUAUUUUUUUGAAAUUGUGUUUGAAACUAAUCGCAUAUAGUCUAGAAUCGGUACAUUACAUAUACUUCUUUGUCUAGAAUCAUGGUACAUUACAUAUACUUCUUUUACGAGAAGCAAGAGGAUAGCGGCAUUAUUACGAAGUUCAUACAAAACUGUUCUGCUGAAAUAGAUUUUCGGAUUUUAGAAACACCACCAGCAACAUUUACAUGCCUAUUACAAUCUUUCACAAGACAACAAUUAAGUCGGUAGUUUUUCUUAGCUAAGAGCUCUUCAUUUUUGAUCCAUAACAGCAAAAAAAAAGAAAAAAAAAAGAAACCGAUUUUGGGUCAGAAUAUUUUCUUCUCACAGUCACAGACAUACUAAUACAUUUUCAAACAGAACGUCGGUGUUGUUAUCAAAGACAAAUAUAGCAAUAAGCAUGUACUUUUGGGCAUCACUUGUAAAGCUUUCACAUAGUGAGCACUUACAGAACAUUUAUUUACAUAAUUUUCCCCAACUACUGCCAUUGGUUUUUAGUGUUUUUAAAUAACUUCAUUAACGGUACAAUAGUAAUCACAAAAUUAAUAUAUUUAAAUAAAAAAUAGUUUAAUUCUUUUAAAUAAUUAUUAAUUUCCAAAAAAAUAAACUAUUUUUCUCUCUCUUAUUAAUUAUAAACGAAAAUUUGAAAUUAAUUUUUAAAAAAUUGUUAACCAAUAGGAAUUGAAAAACUAAGAUUUGAUAUCCAACUAAGAUUUUAAUUCAAAAAUAAAACAAAUUUUAAUAGACUAUUCUAUAUCAAAAAUAAAAAGAAAAAUAAUAUCAUUUUAAUUCAAAAUUAAAAACACUAUUAUUUAAAAGAUUUAUCAAUGGAGGACUUUAAAAUUUUGUAAGAAAAUUAAAUACAAAUAUUUUAAGAUUCAGUUUUGUUAUAAUAUUUUCACAAAUUUUAAAAUAAUUUCACAAUUUCUAAAAUACAAUAUUAGGUAUUAACAUCUCUUUAUAUUUAUGAUGAAAUAAACUCAAAUAAUAAUAAAUUUAAAGUAAUUAUCAUUAUAGCCUUCGUUUAAAGCAAGUUUGAUAAAUAUCUAACAAUAGAUUGUAUAUAUUAAUUUCUAAAUUAUUUUGCGUUUUAUUUUUUGUUUUUCAACCGGAUCUUCCUUAAAUAAAUCCCUAAUAUAUUGCACACAGUUUUCAAAUAAUGUAAACUAAUUAUAUAUUUUGAAUUCAAAACAAAUUAUGCAGCAAUAGCAUAUCCCUUUUAAAAAUGUAUCUCAAAUUUUUAUUUUUAGUCCAAAAAUCAAAUUAAUUAUGAUUAAACAAUAAAAAGAAGAAUAUGCAAAAUUUAGCUAAGGAAAGAAACAUUAAUAAAUUUGUUAAAAUAUAUUUGUAACUUUAGCAGCAUAUAUAUUAAUCUACAAAACUCACAGUAUGUAUAUGGUAUUUAAAAGUACGCAAAUAAGAAUUUUGAACAUGAUUUUAAUGGAAUGAAAUGAGAAUAGGAAUUACGAGACGGGAUGAGAGGGGAACAUAAAUUAAAAAUCAAACUAAAUACCCAAUUGGUAUGAGUUCAGGUUAUGAGCACUAUAUAAAAUAAAUUUGUUUACAUACAUAACCAUGUACGUACGUUUUCAGUUACACAUAUUCUAUUUAUGCCGGAUACUGGACUGUCAUAUUUUUAUUUCACGUAUACAAGACGGGUUAUGGGACCAAGAAUGUAUGACAGAUAUAGGACGGGAUGUGUUUCCCGUUCUAAAAUAGUUACGCCUAGCUAAUAUACAUGAAAUAACCAAACUCAAACCGAAUCUAUAUCCUAUUUAACACAUGUAAUCAAACUAUUAGAAAUGUUUUGAUUAGUUUAGAAAAUAAAAAAGUAACAUCAUUUAACUUUUGCAACUAAAUUAUAUCUUAGUUUUAUCUUAAAUAUAAUUUCGCACGUACGUGUAGGUCCGGAUCUUAAAAUAUAACUAUACACUAACGCAACUGAAUUUCGUUUAUUACUCUAAUUUUAUAUUAUUUGUACUAUUAUAAAGUUCACUAACACAAUAAAAUAUUUUAUAUUUUUAAAAUCUAUAUAACAAUUUCUAUAAAAAUAUCUCUACACGUACGUGUGAAUCCAAAUCUAAUACACUAAAAUAUAUAUCAUAAAAACAACGAAAUAAUUUAUAUUGAAUUAAAAUUUGUUAGAACUUUUUAAAAAAUAUAAAACCCCGCACGUAAGUGCGGGUCAUGAUCUAGUGUAUUUUAACAUAUGAGAUUCAUUGAAAUGAGAACUUGUUAACGAUCUCUUACUAACAGAUUGGAACAAAAGAAUAUUUUCUUACAGAGGCUGUUCUUUUGAUGGAUCCUCUUCGAAUUAACGGAUCACAAUUAGGACCAGUCAAACCAAAGACAACAAAAACUUCCUAGUGCAUUGAAUAGCAAAAAUUGUGUGUCCCAUAGUAACUCCAACAUUGUUUCCCGCAAUCAUAAGAUCAAGAAGUACGUUUUGUCAAACUCAAAACCAGACAAUGAAAAUUGUUGCAUCCAGCCAAAACUUGAUACAAAAAUAUGUGGUCUGUUUUUAGGCGAGUCACUGAGAUAAACACACACAAAAUAAACUUGUGAUUAUGAAUCUAAUUCAAAAACAGAAGACCAGAAAUAAGAUAUAUGGGAAAUUUUGAUCUUUAAAAUCAACUGCAGAAUUAUGCAAAAACAAGAAAGACCUAGAGGGCAGCUUCGGUUGACUCAUCAUCAACUUCUCAAUCUUCGUUCGCCGAAUAUCAGAACACAUAGCUUAUAUCAAAAAUCUAUCUCAAUUUUACAGCAGCGAAACCAAAACAAAAGCCUAGAAAUCUUCCUCAAUCACCAAAAUUAAACCUUAGAUAUCAUAAAAGAACGACAAUCGAUCCGACUUUGUAUUCAUUGAUUCCUUAUUUCCUUGCAAGAACCUUAAAAUGUAUCUGCAAUACAUGAAUAUAGACAUGGAAAAGUCCCGAAACAUGAUGAAAUCAAUUGUUACAAAUAGUUACUCAUCUUUUUCAUAAAGUGGUGUUCUCUCUGGAUUCGAUUCAUUGAAUUUGCUGAAGAGAAUGAUUGAAUCAGGGAGACCUAUCCGACGAACGAAGAAUGAAAGAAGAGGUGAGGGAAAGAGUGAGAGAAGAGAACGACGUCGGAUCCAAAGAAGAGAGAAAGAGGUGUGGAGAGAUAACAGAACAACGUCGGUUUUACGGAUAGAGACUAUUACUAAGCUGAGCUGUAUUAAUUGAAAUGUUUUGAUUGGAGCUCGUUUUUAGUGACGUGUUACAUUCUAAAGAACUGAAAAAGCUGAUAUGUCAGGUAUGGAGAGACUCUUAUUGUUUUUAUUGUAUUGAUUAACCGAGGUAUUGAACAGGUAAAGCACCAGAUUCGAAAGGAAAGGUGUGGAGAAUGGCUUCCUUGUCACUCUCCUUCACACCGGCCAUGUAUAUCGUAGAAUUUUCGAGACUAAUCUGCAGCCCUGAAAACUCUGCAAAUUUUUAAAAAAUCUGGAGAAUUCCUACAAUAGAGCUUUUCCUCCAUAAUCGCUAUUAUUGUUCGUUUCAUUGUGUCGCAAUUGAUCACAUAAUUUGAACUUGCCUAAAUAGUUAUGGCUUGUUGGUUGUGACAUGUUGCUGCUAUUAGUAGCCCCCACGAACAAUAUUUAGUGUAUUCUUUCAACCGUUGUAUAGUAUAUUUUGAAUAAUUGGACUCUUUCCUAUAUUAUUCAAAAUCUUUCAAGAAAAAUUUAAUGGCGUAGGUAUCUUUGUAAAGCGACUCACUACUAUUAAGUGUAUAAGUAGAGGAAGGAAAGAACAAAAUUGUAUAUGUUUGGACUUGAUAUAUGAUCAUUGACGUUUUGAAUGACGUUGUCUUUCGGUUAAAAAACAAAUCCUAAUGACCAGUGGCGGAGCCAGAAAUUUUGAUUACCGGGGUCAUUUAUAAUUAAUUAUUUUUAUUUAGCUAUAUAUAUGUAUGUUUAAUAAUAAAUUGUUGCUUAAAUGAUCUAGAGAAUAUUUAAAUUUCUUUACCCAAAAAAAAUAAAUGAUUGUUUUAAUAUAAUUUGUAUGCAGUGUUUAAAAAUGCUUCAUUUUAAAAUAAAAGAUACUUAAUUGUAGUUCAUUUUUUCUUUUGUAUUAAGUACUUUUUAUUCUCAAAAUAUAUAGUAUGUAGAUAUUGAUUAGUUGUUGUAUUUAUUUUGAUUUAUGACCUUUCAAAGAAAUAUAUAUUAAAAAUAAUUUAAAGAUUUAUAGCUAUUUCUAAGGAAAAAUAAAAUAAAAAUGGAAAGAGAAUUAAUGGUAAAUGAAAUAAUAAAUAUGUAUGGGGUCAAAUAAAGAAAUCAAUUGCAUGGCAUAGGGGUCAUUGUAGAAAGUUUAAAGGAAAACAUCCAAAAAUCAUUAGAAAACAUCCAAAAAUCAUUAGAAAACUUACCUUAUAAUUUUUUUUCUAUAAAUGUUAUGGGGGUCAGCCGACCCCCCUCCCACUACACUGGCUCCGCCCCUGCUAAUGACAUGAAAAUAUCUCACUGUGAUACACAAUCUAUUGGGGCCCAAACUCUAAUUUUACAUAGUAUAUAUUAUUAAAUCUUGAUUUUGUUUAGAUUUCCUCAUUGUUACUCUGAAUUUAUUUGAUGAUUUGUUUUGCCCAUACCCAAAAAUGCAGUAUAUCAUAAAGAAGAUGUUACAUAAGCUCAAGUCCAAAAUAUACUUCCAUAAAACCAACGUCUAUACUGUAUAGACUAUACAUAGAUGUAUGUAAUGCAUCAGAAAAGAGACUACAACAAUCCCAAAGCUUCUCUCUCAGGUAGUGACUUCUUUAUACUGUAAUUUUUGCAGAAUCCCAAGAAGUUAUGACACCAUCUAAUCUCUUGAUAAUGUCUGAUUCACAAGCAUACCAGUUAGGUAUAAUCUUCAAGGCGUAAGGGUACAUAUCUUUAACCGAGUUCUUGAUUGUAUUCUCCACGACUUCCGCAACGAUUCCAAUUUCUGCAAAACCAACAAUCAUCAGCACAAUUACUUAGAUUUAACAACUAAAAGAGAUAGUACGCCCUAACUUGUAGCGGAAGUUAAAUCCAAAUACAGAAUUAAGAAAAGAAGAAUUAUUCAGUUACCUCGAAUAGGUCUCCUGUUGGUCUGAGAUAUAUGAGAGAUCAUGAAGAUAAUUGCCGCAAGAACUGACUUAGGGUUUCUUCGGAUAUCGAAAUUCUCAGCUUUUUCGACAGCUUCUCGAAUCGCCAUUAUCUCUCUUUGACUUAUAUCAAGUUUGGAACAGAACCGGCGAACGAGUUCUCCGGUGUUGAUAAUCGCUUGAGCAGCAGACACGGAGGCUUGAUCUGAUUCAAGAACACGCUUUAUCACCAUACUCGAUUUGCGGAUAUCCUUCAAUUCAACACCGUUGGCAACCAUAGCGAUCUCUUUCAAUGUCCUCGACAGUUUCAGUUCACGACAAGCCAUUGAAACAGAGGCUGCACAAACAGCGUAUAGCGUCUUCCCUCUGCGUAAUUUCGUGUUAGCGUGACCACCGAAUUUGGAGACAAUCUCACAAGCCCUAGAGUGUACAACGAUAUCUAGGUAUAGUGCAUCAGUUAUUCUCUGUAUUUCCUCGAAUGCUUUCUUGAUUAGAUCUUCUUCAUGGUUCUUGAGUUGAUUCUGCGCACGGCACAAAGUAGAGAGAUCAUCUUUGGACACAACAGAAGAAAUGUUUUCCUUAGGUUUCUCGAUGACGGUGACGAGAUCACCGGAUUUGAGAAGAGGGUUCGUUGGAGCACCAACACGGUUUGGGUCUCUGUCACUGCGAUUGUCGUCGGAGGCGAAAGUUCUCCAUUCCUCAGAGUAUUCGAUGAUGUGAGCUUCGAGGACAAGGCCACACUCUGAGCAGAUGGUGUCGCCGCUACUGUGAUCAAUCACCGUUAUGGUCGGUCUCUUGCAGUCCAAGCAAGUCUCUUCCUCCAUUAACAUCUUUUUAGGGUUUCUUUCUUCUUCGUAAAUUGUUUUUAGGGUCGAUUCGUUGAUUUGUUACCCAAAGCCGAGUAUUUAUAGAGGAUGGAGUAAGGUAAUUUCUUUUUCUAAUAGGAUUUUGAUGGUUUUACUGUGUUACUAGCUAUUUACUAAUGGUAAAAGUAAAGUUUCCUUUUUUUUUUUAAUUUCCUUUCUAUUUUAUGAAGUAAGAUAAUUUCAACGGAAAUUAAUUAGUUUCCUUUUUUUUUUUUUUCCAAUUGUUGGGUUAAAGAUUGUCCCAAACAUUAAAAGAAAAAAAAAUGUUUUUUUUAAGCUGCAUAUUUUAUAUAUAUAUCAAAGAGUUACAUAACAUUAGUCUAAUUUACAGAUGAUAGAGUACAUUACAUAUAUAAGUAGUCAAAACUAUAUACUAAAGAUUAUUUUUCUGAUUCCCUUAAGAAUCUCUGAUGGAUAUACACAUCAUUUUCUUCCCCCAAAAAUCUGAUGAUCACAGUGGAAGACAAUGUAGUGGCUCGGGCAGGUUCGUUGGCAUUUGUAUCCCAACAACGUAUCUCUGCGGAAUAGGUCUUGUAAUGGUCUUUGCGCGGUUAUGAAACUUGCCGAGAUGGUUUAUCACAGAGAAUCUUUCGAGAUCUUGGAUUUCGAAGAUGAUGUCUAAUAUCGAUGUAGUCCUCUCCAAGCUGCAUACAAUUUGAAAAA